AGGAAGGAGAGAUCAUGGCGGACGGGAGGCAAGACUAGCCUGCAGCUCUGGACAGAGCAGCGAGUGGGAGCUCGCAUUGUAAACUUUAGCUCCAGAUGGACGGCAAAAACAAACCAGCAAUCCCCAGAGGACCCACAGACCCUCUGAAGGAAGUGGGCUGCUCCUGCAGGACCCGGGAGACCCCCAAAACUGUGAGUGUCCAGCUGCCGAAGUGGGAAAGGGAAACCCUCCUCUCCGGAACAGACACCCCCUGAGAAGUCUAUUUGUGGGAGAAGUUUCCGACUUUACCUGGAGCUGAGUCAGUCUGGAGAGCUGACUGAAAUACAGGGAUAGAGGAGGCAGCAGCAAGGCCCUGGGAGCUGAAUGGGUCCCCGGGCAGCCCAUUCCUGCCUGGCACCACAGGGAUCCAACGGGAGAGGAACAGAGGGUAAAACUACACGGAGAGAAGGAAAUCUCUAGCUGAACUUUGUAACAAUUCGAACAGCGUGAGAAGUCUCCUGGCCAGAACUCGGGGGAGGACACAAAUCUCCUGCACAGUUAAUAUCCAGAGUCACACGUGGAGAGGAAGCAUCACAAUGAGACCAUACAACCAUAUAAUCUGUUCAAGUCCUAGAAGGUGUUGGCAGAGCUGCAGGACUGACCUAGGUCAAUGGCUGUGGGACCACAGGGAAGAAAAGACACCAGAUGUUUCCGAUCAAGAGACAAGAGAAACAUUCAGCGUGACCCUAGAAAAUCUUUCUAAAGAGAUUUCACAACACUCAGCUCAUGUUUCGGGUCCAUGAAACCAUCUUUAGAUGAAUGAUGCCUUGUUACCUGUGAGAGGAAGUGAGCAGCGAGGAGUCCUGUCAGUUCCGGAAGGAGUAUUUGGGUUACUGUUCUUCAUUGUCUGCAGUUCUGUCUUGCUCAGUCGCCCAGGCUGAAGUGCAGUGGUGUGAUCAUAGCUCACUGCAGCCUCAACUUCCUGGAGUCAAGCAAGCCUCCCACAUCAGCCUCCUGAGUAGAUUGGAGACCUGUUGUGUGUUACCUUUGGAAGGUUUUCCACAGUUGAGAUCCAGUUGCUCCAGCAUCAUUUGUUGAGUGGUCUCUCUUCAUCCACAGAGCUCCAGAGUGUCUCCUCUUACAGGACUUCUACACGUUGGGCACAAAUUUCAGCAUGGCGUUAAGAAGAACUGUGAGUGGGCAUUCUUGCCUUAUUUCUACUUUCAGAGGAAGAUAUUUUGUUGUUCCCUGUUGAUAUUUGCAUUCAGAUGUUUUGUGAGUCCUUCUUAGUAUAUGAAGGGUAUUAUAUUCCAUUCAUUAUUUCAUUCAGUUCAAAAAAUUUUCUACAUUUGACCAUAUAUUUGUGAUAAAAAGAAUGUUUAGCAGUGUAUUUCAAAAACAUAUUUCAAAACAUAUGGGAAUUUUCCAAAUUUUUCUGGCUAUUCAUUUUCUAACUUAAUUGCUGAUAAUUAAGAAAGUAAAUUAUUAUCUUGUCUGAGUUAAGCAUUGUAUGAAUGCCAGUAAAAAGAGAAGUAGAGAAAAUCAUGCAAGAUAAAUUGGGUAUAUAGGUUCCUAAAAUGUGAUACCUGAGCUAGAGUGGAAGAAGCUGCAGCUUUAGAACCAGUUUAGAUUCUUGGUUUGUUUUCAUCUUUCCUUGACUCUGGGCCACUUCUGUAUCACCAACGUUUACAAUGAUUGAAUGUCACUCUAGGUUCAUUUACUUCUUAUUCUAAAGCCAAAUAUUUAGGUCCAUUAGAGGCCAACAUUAUUAUUAAGAGCUCUUUAGCACCCAAUGACAUUUUUCUUUCAAAAAGUCAAUAUUUUAUAGAAUCUAAAUUAAGUGGGAAAAGAGAUUUAAGAUUCGCUAUGAAUACAUUCUAAUUAUUUUUACAACAUUUUAUAACAAGAUUAAACUUUUGGUGAGUUCUGCUAAACUAUGAUAACUACAAAUCUGGAAACCUUUUUCUCCCCCCCAAAAUAAUUUUAUCUUUUAGGUUCUUUCUUCUUUUUUGUUCCUCUGUUUUUGCUGAUACAUUGAGAGUAGAUUUUAGCAAUUUUAAAGUAAGAGGGCUAUUCUCGUCAGUACAAGUUCUCCCAGGAAAAAUUUUUUAAAAAUCAGACAUACUUACCAAUCUGCGAAUAAACUUAAUAGUGAUAUAAAGGUAAAGUCAUGGGAGGAUUAAAAUCUGGAUUAAAAUCAAGAUACGGAAUUCUAUGAAAAUAAAUAUGAUUUCUGAUAUCUUUUUAAAGGUGCUGAACAGCUGAGUACACUCUAUUUUCAAAGAAUAAUGUUUUCCCUGGGUCCCCGGUCAGCUAUGAUUUCCCAGGAUGAUAUAAUGUUUCUUGCACUGGAAAAAUACAUAUUAUUUUUAGGUUAAAAGUUAUAAAAAGUGUUUUAUUCCCUGUGGCUAUCCCUCCUCCUCAAGCUACUAGGAAAAUGGUGAAAACAGAAAAAUCAAAACAAGAAUACCAACGGAUACGUUUUCUAAAACUUAACAUGCAUGUCUUUGAGAAUUCAAUUUUGUUAGCCACAUUUCAGAUAUAUAACCUUUUUCCUUUAAUAAUCUAUGAUUUAAAUGCUCAAAUGUUUUUAAGCAUGUGGUGCUGGCUCCAAAUAACCCUCCAUCUUGAGAGAUGCGACCCUCCCCAGGUUUCUCCCUUCAUCACUACCAGCAUCCGUUCUCUCUCUGGACAAGCUCUCCCUGAGCAGAAGGCUUAAUUGUGAAAUGGAAUGCCCUGGAUAAUGAGAGAAAAAAGGGGAAAAGAAGUCCUUUAGAUAUCAGAGAGAGAGAAUGAUGAUAUAAGGGAUGUGGCAUAUUGAUUUAAAUAUUAGCAUAUUGAUUUAAAUUACCUUGAAGAUAUGUACAAGCUGUAAUUAAGAAUUAAACAUUAGUAGGUGUCAUUUUGAUCAUAAUUAAGGGGCCUCAGGUAGCACUGGCAGCUUGACUUCCACUUGGAAUUUCUUCUUCUAAGUAUUAGGCACGUGCUUCUCUCCGUCACGGUACCACCCAUCCAGCUUGCACUCCUCCUAGGAUCGCUGGAGAUUCGCCUCAUGUUGCAGACCUAACCUGCACUCUGGGUUGUCUUGUUAAUUUCUGAAGUACCCCUCCACAUACAUCUAUCUGUGUGACCGCAUGCCUGGUCUGAUCUUUAUACGGUCAGUAGGUGUUGAGUUUUACCACUCUAGGUUGUCUUGUUAAUUUCUGAAAUACCCCUCCACAUAGACGUAUCUGUGUGACCACGUCCCUGGUCUGAUCUUUAUAUAGUCAGUAGGUGUUGAGUGUUACUGAUUUUUGGUCCCCGAGCUGGGUACAUUCAGGAACACACAUAUGCCCAGGUUUAUGGGCCGUUAUUCACAAGGCUCUCUUAGGUUUUCUAAUGUGAACAUUGUGUAGUCUUGGCAAGACUCAAUAAAAACUCUCUAAAAGAAAAUGGCUAGAAACAAACAUGGUAUAAAUUGCAAUAUCAGAAGCCCUGUGCUGAAAUAAAGCAAGAGUUCAUGUAGCCUGUGUUCAGCUUCUGACCACAGCAUCCAGAGAGAGCCUGCAGUGGGAAUCAUGCUUCUACUGAGUUUUCAAAUUAUGAUCAUGGAACACACAUUCUCCUGGAUGCCAAAGUGACUCAUGUUUCAUGGAUCAGCCUAAAGGUCAGUUCCUCUACUAAACUACUUUGAAUCCAUAGUCCUACAGUUUAAAAAUCUGGAAGGCAAUUCCGAGGUCACCCAGAGUGAUAAGGUCAUUGCAAUAUUUAAAUCAUGAGUUGAAAGCACUUUGCACAAUGUAACAUGCUAUAAAAAAACAAAUAUUUGUAGGAAUUAUUAAGAACCUUCAUCAGCAUUCCUGUGGAGUCAUCGCUAGGAGACUUGUGGUCUCUGAAAAGAGGACUGUUUUUAUACACAAUCAAUGUUUCUGUGUUUUGAUAGACAGAAUCAAUAGCUACCAACUGUUCAGCUGGGCUCAAACCACCAAACAGCUGGCUCUAUAUUCAUAUCCUCGUGGUUCAAAAUACUUUUAACCCUAUGAUGUAUAAAUUCCUACUCUGCACAGUUUUUACACACCGACCAAUAUAUACACAUCACAGAGGACACAUUUAGUGCUGCACUUCCUGCUGUGACUGUUAAAAAAGACAAGGGGCUCCCUGCUUGGCAGCUGUGAUGGCCUAGGAGUCAAUUUCUCAGCAGCACCAUUCUGGAACAUAAAAUCUUACAUUUAAUUAUAUCUACUGCACAGUUUUCAGAGUGUAGCUUAAUAAACAGUCAUCUGCAAAGAUCUAGAACCAGAAAUACCAUUUGACCCAGCAAUCCCAUUACUGCAUAUAUACCCAAAGGAAUAUACAUCAUUUUAUUACAAAGAUACAUGCAUGCAUGUGUUCACUGCAUUACUAUUCCCAAUAGCAAAGACAUGGAAUCAACACAAGUGCCCAUCAAUGAUAGACUGGAUAAAGAAAGUAUGGUACAUAUACACUAUGAAAUACUAUGCAGCCAUAAAAAGGAACAUAGUCAUGUUCUUUGCAGGAACAUGGAUGGAGCUGGAAGCCAUUAUCCUCAGCAAACUAAUGCAGGCACAGAAAACCAAACACCACAUGUUCUCACUUAUAAGUGGGAGCCGGACAAUGAGAACACAUGGACACGGUGAGGGGAACAUCACACACUGGGGCCUGGGGAGCAUUGGAAAACAUAGCUGAUGUAUGCUGGACUUAAUACCUAGGUGAUGGCUUGAUAGGUGCAGCAAACCACCAUGGCACACAUUCACUUAUGUGACAAACAUGCACAUCCCGCACAUGUACCCCAGAACUUAAAAUAAAAAUAAAAAUUUUAAAGGAAUUAAGAAAGGAAAAAAGCAGUCAUCCUUUUUGUACAGCUGAAAUUCAUCCUCAAAAGUACUUGGAAUACAGCACUCAUAUUCUUAGUGCUUCCAAAAAUCUCCCAAGAUUAUCCCAUUGUUUUGGAAAAUAAUACAUUGUGUGUAUAUAAUGAAUCUAUACAAAGGGCAUCUAAGGGUGAUAUGAAAAGACUCAUCUUGUGUGAUAUGCAUAUGCUGAGAAUUGUGGGUCUAUGCAGAUCGCCCUGGUCAAUUUUACCUUAGAGUUUUGGGGAGGUUAAUUUUGCCUAGAAAUACAAGAUGGCUUCCCUUUUUUUUUUUUAUUUUUUAUUUUCAGAUCACUUUAUUUAGGGAUGCGGCAAUGGCAGUAGUUCUCAAAAGGAAGCCGGGUAGAAGCAAAUUAAUUUCUAAGGUAUUCUAGACUCAGAUGUAUUGCAGAUGCUAACCCACUCUCGCCAGUUGGCAUCGAUGUCCUAGUCAGACGGGGACCAGGGAGUCUUUGUCGGUGUCUGUGGGUUCCUGCUUCUCAGCACCAGCAUCAGGGGGAGACGAAGUGCUGAUUAGGAGAACACACAUUGGCAGGCGCACGUGACAACCCUGGUCGGUGCUCUAUCCGUCUGGGUUUGUCCAACAAUUUAGUUCCAUAAAGAAGAGAACACAAAAGUCCUGCCUGCUAGGGAGGAAAUCAUCACUGAACUAAGCAAGGGGUAAGAUUCUGACUCCGGUCUGAUAAUUGCUGGAACAGGUUGAGGACAACGAACAUGACGUAGGAUGUAUGAGGUGAGAAAGGGCACAGUGAGCCCCAGGUCCAGGACACUGGUAGGUGUGUGGGACCUGAGAUGCACGUUGACCUCAUGUUGUUCUGGUCAAGCAACAUUUAAAGAUGAAUGAGAAUCUAUGCAAGAAUAUAAAGAGUCCCCAGGAUGGAAACACCGAAAGAAGACAGGUUCUGGAAAAAAAGUGGAAAGUAGAGAAGAGGGGUGAGGUAUCCAUACGCGCCCUGUAGCAUGUCUGUGUGAUAGAGAGAUGCAGAGAACCAAGGAAUCAAUGGUGAUUAAGACCCUGAUUGCAACAGGUGCAUAUGCAACUAGGUAGAAGAAUUUUUAAAUUAUCUAAAUAAUUUAACUCCUCCCCCAAAAAUACUUCACUAAGCAUUUUUAAAACGCACAUGGACCCUACCUUUCAGAAGUCGCUUAUCCUAACCAAAAUUUUUCAGGAGGGUUUCCUAGUUAAUGGAUGUGCUGCUUGCCACUGAAACCUCCUAAACCAUGUAACUCAUUAUGUUUGCAGAAUUAUGUGAGGCAGAUGCCCAGUAAGACCAAGAAUGCAGAGAAAUCUAAUAGAAACGCGGGAAGCAAUCAUAAAAGUCUUUAAAGGCAGACUUGAGUACUGUCAGCCUUAUGCUACUUUCUUUGUGUAAGAUUGAGUUAUCUUAAACUGUGUCCAUGGGAAAUAAAGGAGAACAGAAGCCUGCUUUUUAAAGGCUUUGUGUUACGAAACUGCAUUUAGAGUUUAUUAGAAACAGGAAUAACUUAGGUAGCAAUGUCAAUCAGACGUUAAAAAUAUAUAUGUGGGGCCGGAGCUGGUGGCUCGUGCCUGUAAUCCCAGCACUUUGGGAGGCCGAGGCGGGCAGAUCAGUUGAGGUCAGGAGUUUGAGACCAGGCUGGCCAACAUGGUGAAACCCUGUCUCUACUACAAAUAUGAAAAAUUACCGGGCAUGGUUGCAUGCACCUGUAACUCCAUCUACUCGGGAGGCUGAGGCAGGAGAAUUGCUUGAACCCAGGAGAUGGAGGUUGCAGUGAGCUGAGAUCAUGCCACUGCAGUCCACUCUGGAAACAGAGCAAGACUCCUUCUCAAAAUACAUACACACACACACACACACACACACACACACACACACACAGAAUAUAGAAAAUGUAUAUACACAUAUAAUACAAGAUAUAGAUUAGGUAGUUUAAAAGAAAAAUUGCACUGUACAAGAUGAGCAAACAAAUUUUAUUUUAUAUAUUUAUUUUAUUCCUACACUUUUACCAGCAAUAGGGAAGCGCUCACAGACAGAUAUGGUCUGGAAAUCCAGCUUCCUUGAAACAAAAGAAUGGAGAGUUUCAAGAGCUGAGUGGGGGAAUCACAGGUCACCUGCAUUUGCUAAUUGCUUUCCCCAAAGUAAAGGUAGAUUUUCUCCUGUGUUUAUGACAGAAAGGUAGUUUUACAACUUGGACUCCAGCAGAGACUGGAAAGGGGCCCCUACCUUGAUGAUUGCAUUCCAGAAGGAUGGUGCCCAUAGCCUUGGAAAAGUCGCUCCGAGCUGUAAAACUGGCCAGAGACUGGACAAAGAUUUACAUCUCAAAGGACAGAGAAAGAAUUCAUCAUGAGCAGUGUUCUAAAGUAAAUGCUCUCCAUAAAGGGAGGUCAGAAAGAAAUCAUCUAACAUUGAGACUGGCUGAGGGACAGGUGGACACCAUCUUGGUCGGUAGCUAUCAACAGAGAAGGACCAGCUGAGGCUGGGGAAUAGAUACUGGUGAUGAUGAUGAUGAUCAUGAUUAUGAUAAUGGCACACAACUUUAUAAAGUCUUAAAAUUGAAAAAAAUAACACUCCAGUAAGUAUUUUCCCACUUAAAUGUUCCACAAUAAACAUGUGCCAUAGUAAUAGCAAAUGCGCAGCCCAGAAGCAGACUGGUGGGAGCUGGACCAUCCCGUGUCCUCUGGAUUCCGGUUCCGGGCUCUAUUGAGGUCAUUUUGCCUGCUAAGGUUGAAAAGAUGCAGUGUGGAAAUAUGUGAGGGUAUCCAAGACCGAAUCAUGAAAAAUAUGCACACCUUCAGCGCCCUAAAUAUACACGAUUACCCUCAGUGCCCAGCACGUCCAAAAUCCAACGCGUCAUUUCACCUUCUUGUCACUGACUAGUAUUUCUGUCAGUGGUGCUAGGAUUCUUUCAAAUUAAUCAUCACGCACCUUCAAAACAACUUAUCUGUCUCCUAAAGGAUCACCUCUCCUCUCUAAUUCUUUCUAUAUCCAGCUGCCAAAUGUAUCUUUCUAAGUGGUUCCUAUGUUGCCACUACUCCGCAUCAAAAAUUGAGUUACCAGCUGAAAUAAUGUGAUCAUCUUGGUCUUUUCAUGGCCAAAUUAAGCCAUUUACAUGUAUUUUUGAUAAGUGAUCUGCUUGGUUUCAUAAUAUCUAUUUCAGCUUUGUUUUCUAUAUGUUGCAGUUUUAUGCCAUUUUCUUAUUUUGACUCUUCACCUUCUUGUUUCUUCAUUACAUUUUGAAAUUGUUACAACGCUUUAAAAUUCUACUGAUUAUAUUUCCAUAAGGCAUUGAAGACACAUAAACUUCUGGGAUGUUUCAAAGGUACUGCAGAAGAUUUAAUCAGUUUUUGGCUAUUGCUAGAAUGUCCUCUAACCCUAAGUUUCUUCACUUUCUGAUAAAUGCUUGAUAUGGUUUUGCUGUGUCUCCACCCAAAUCUCAUCGUGAAUUGUAGCUCCCACAAUUCCUAUGUGUCAUGGGAGGGACCUGGUUGGAGAUAAUUGAAUCACGGGGGCAUUUUCCCCCCAUACUCUUCUCCUGGUAGUGAAUAAGUCUCACGAGAUCUGAGAGUUUUAUAAGGGGAAACCCUUUUCGCUUGGUUCUUAUUUUCUCUGCUGCCAUAUAAGAUGUAUCUUGUGCCGUUCCCCUUCCACCAUGAUGGUGAGGUCUCCCCAGCCACGUGGAACUGUGAGUCAGUGAAACCUCUUUUCCUUUAUCAGUUACCCAGUCUCGGGUAUGUCUUUAUCAGCAGCAUGAAAAUGGUCUAAUACAAUGCCUAUUUUAUAGUCGAUGCAUGGGCACACUGUUAGAGAACCCCAAAUUGCAAUAUUCUUUCUUACCAUUUUGUUAUUGUUGUUAUUGUUUUUAUUUUCUCUUACAGAUAUCUAAUUUGAUUUAACUGACAUUUAGGAUACUUCAAACCUUUUCUCAGGUUGGGUACAGGGAUGCGGAUAGUGCCUGGGAAGUGGUACGUCGACAAAAGUCUUUCUCUUACCAUGUAGCCUGAGUUCUCUAGGUUUUGAAGACAUUUCAUUUGCCUGAGUAGCUUAAAGACACUGAUGACUGUGCCAAGCCUCCAGGACUGUGGAGGAGAGGUGGUAUCAGUGUGACUCUCUUUUGUAUUCUGUCUACUUGUACAAUCUGGCAGCGCAUGUGAUUCUGACUCCAUCUUCAGGAUUUUUGGGUAUAUCAAUAUAUCCAGACUAUUUGUAAAAUUUAUUUCCUCUGCAAUUCACUGUCACUUUUUAAUUCAAAAACACAUUUUUCUUUAUCCACAAAAAAUAAUUUUUUACUGCUUGUUAAUUCUUGCAUCUCCAUCCAGUUUUACUCCUUUAGGGCAUUAUAAGAAUUAUUUUUCUUGGAUCUGCCUUCCAAUUCACAUAUAUUUUGUCUUAAUAUUUCUAUCUAAUUGUGUCUCUGAUUUUUAUACUGAUAGGUACUUUUCCCAUUUUUUAUUCAUGAUAUUAAUUGGUUUUGUGGCACAAGUUUUUAAAGUUUUAUUUUCUUCAACUCCUAUUUUGAUUCUUUUUUUCCCAACAUCCUACUUCUCUUUGCUUGUUUAUUUCUUUGGUCUUUUUGACAUUUAUCUUGGUCUCUAGAAGUCUCCCGCGAACACACAGAGGCCCAAGACUGCUUACACACUUCUAUUUAAAAGAGAGGCCUAGGAAGGUAAUUAAAGCUUGCGUGAAUAACCGAGUCUUAACAGCCAGUGUGUGUCAUUUAAGGGUAAUCAGGUGACAACCGCCAUCUGGCCGUUUCAUCGUGGGGUGGGGGGGGGCCCAAGCAUCAGCAUAAGUAUAUAUGUUCUCAGUGAUGGUUAAGUUUCAGCAAAAAAAUCUCAUCAACCUUCUGCUAGGGUGAAAGGUAUAUGACUGGUUGACAAUGUUCCGAGGCCCCAUUGGAAGGCGGAAACAAAGGAUUUUGUAGUUCAGGAUAUUAACUUUCAGCCCAUCAACCUGUUUUGAGUACCGUAUUGCAUGCCUGCACCCAACGCCCAGAGUCUGGGGUGUUCUGUUUUAAUUUCUCUUGACACCCCGGCUCCCUUAGGGGAGAAGGGGAUGUUGAGGGAGACUCACUGACCUGCUUCACAUUCCUUCAGUCAACUUUUGUGUUCUUACCUUCACUCCUUAUUUCCACCAUGAGAGUUUCACUAUGCUUUGAAUUACUGGGAUUUCCACAAUUAAGCAAUGCAAAUUAUUGAAUUAUUUUGUUUAUCUUAUUUCUCAUUUGUAAUAACUUGUUAUGUGAAUUUUCUUUGUCAUCAGUUAUCACAAAUACACCAACUUUAUUGUUAAAUAUUUUUUCAUCAUCAUUCAUAUUCUGGGGUCUCUUCUGUUUUCUUUAGGGUCUACUGUUCUUGGAUGAAUUAUACAUACGAGGCUUCAAUGGAUCUCAUACGUUACCCAUAGUUUUCCCAUUUCCUUCAUGGAAUUUCUAAGUGUACUAGUUAAAUUUGUUUUUCUCUUCAGUUCUUAAAGCCAUUUGGGCACUGCAGUUGUAUCUUACUGAGUUUGCCUUUGUUGUGUAAAAUAUCUUUUUUUUUUUUUCUCCCUCUUCAGUGUAAGCCACCUCUUCCAGAUGUCUUUCCUUCCUCUGUAGAUAGUCGGUUCUCCUUUGAGGAUGGAAACCACCCACGCAGCUUGCCAUUUUUAUUAACAUGAUUUUAUAAUUCCCUGUUUUCAAGAACAUAACUUUACUUGUGUUUCGCUUAGGAUCCUAGGAGAUGCUUGCACCAGAAGAUAAAGUUGCAACUAACUUUAUUGCUUACUCCAAAGACUCAUCCGUUCUUCAAUAGGAAAAUCAAAAGCCAGUUUAAAACAGUCUAAGACUUUCUGAACAAUUCGGCCUCAAAAUUCUUGGCAUUGUCUGGCCACAAAUUCUAAACAAUUAUAUCAUAAUCUUUCCCCAAAUUAACCAAUAUCCUGAAUUGAAAGAUGCACCAUAAGUCAGAUUUUUCAGUCUCAAUAAAUAUCCUGAAUUGUGUUUUACCUAAUGGUUCAGCACGGAUUCCCUGUGGGAGUACUGCUGGCCCUGGGUGCAUAAGCAGUGAACCUGGCUUUGUCUUUUCAGCGGGCUUUUUGGUGAUACUUUGCAGAACCAGCGUUGAAUAUCCUCAUGGAAUAGUCCCUUCUCUGCCGACUGAUAGUGUUUCGCUUUGUCAGCACCCUUGCUGGGGACCAAAUUGUGUCCUGCCGCAAGUCAUACGGUGAAGCCUGAAGCCCCAGGGUGACUGUAUUUGGAGACAAGGCCUUUAGGCAGGUAAUUAAGGUUAAAUGAUGCCAUAGGGUGUUGUCCAACAGACUUGGUGACUCCACAAAGGAAAUACACCAAAGGAAGGCCAGAUGAGGACACAGGGAGAAGUUGGCCAUUUGCAACCUAGAAGAAGGCAGAACCUGACCGUGUGGGCGCCCUAAUCUCAGACUUGCAGCUUCCAGAACUGCGAGAUAAUACAUCUGUGCUGUUUAAGUCACGGGGUCUGUGGUAGGGUGUUAUGGCAGCCACGGCUGUAAGACCACCCAUAUGGUGGGUGCGGUCGGUGCCCCUGGGGCAGUAGCCAACAGGUGGUUAAGAGUGAUGCUGCUUUUUUGCCCUCUUUUGGGAAGAAGGAAAUGAUUUGAGGGAAUGUUACCCUCUGCUAGUGAAUUGGGUUGAGGCACCACUACUUCCUGAUCAAUUGGCUUCAAGCAGCAUUUCUCCCUAUUUUUGUUGUUGUUGUUGAAACAGAGUCUCACUGUAUCACCCAGUCUGGAAUGCAAUGGCAUUGCAACCUCAGCCUCCCAGGUUCAUUGCAACCUCAACAACCUCAGCCUCCCAGGUUCAAGUGAUUCUCCUGCCUCAGCAUCCCUAGUAGCUGGAAUUACAGGCACACGCCAUGACACCCAGCUUUAUUUUGUAUUUUUAGUAGAGACGGGGUUUCACCUUGUUGACCAGGCUGGUCUCAAACUCCUGACCUCAAGUGAUCUGCUGGUCUUGGCUUCCCAAAGUGCUGGGAUUACAGGCGUGACCCACCACACCCAGCCCAUUUAUCCCUAUUUUUUUUAAUUUCAAGAGCAAUAUGUUGAGAUAUUGUCAUCGCCUUUCCUGCUGACCAAAGUCCUGGUUGGCACAGCAGAUGCAGGCUCCACCCAGUGCUUGGUAUUAAAUCAUCUUAAGCCUUAAAAAGAGACAGGUUUUCUCCCCUGACAUUAGCCCUUCAGUUUUUGCCUGGCAAGGAAAAAAUGAAGAAGUGCUGAUGACUUUUUUCUCUAGAAUUCCUGAAAAAGUAUGUAGUAUUACCCCAACUUUUCUGCAUAUUCUCUACACUUCUCUUCUUGAAUUUAUGAUUUCUCAUUUUCUUUCUUUCUUUCUUUCUUAUCUCUUUCUUUCUUUUUCUUUCUUUCCUUUUUUUUUUUUUUUUUACGGAGUCUUACUCUAUCAUCAAGGCUAGAGUGCAGUGGCAUGAUCUUGGCUCACUGCAACCUCCACUUCCCAGGUUCAAGCGAUUCUCCUGCCUCAGCCUCCUGAGUAGCUGGGAUUACAGGCACCUGCCACCACGCCUGGCUACUUUUUGUAUUUUUAGUAGAGACAGGGUUUCACCAUCUUGGCCAGGCUGGUCUCAAACUCCUGACUUCGUGAUCCACCCGCCUCGGCCUCCCAAAGUGCUGGGAUUACAGGCAUGAGCCACCACACCUGGCUAUGAUUUCUCAUUUUCUUUCCUGAGAAAUGCAUCCAUCCCAGACUUUGAUUUUUCAAAAUUUUGUGUAUUUUUUCAUUGCCCACCAAGUGAAAGUCAGCAUAGAUUAUUGAUUAACUGUAAAAAAUAAAAUAAUAUAUGUACUAGAAAUAACUUUAUGAGAAAAAGUAUGUAAUUUUGUUAUGGAGAUGUCUAUACCAGUCAUAUUUACUUUUCUCUGCCUCCUACUACUGUUGGUUGUUUAAUUUCCAUACACUUAAUUUUUAAACACUGGUGUAGAUCAUGCUGAUAUGGUUUGCUCUGUGUCCCCACCCAAAUCUCAUCUUGUAACUCCCAGAAUUCCCACAUGUUGUGGGAGGUAUCCUGUGGGAGGUGAUUGAAUCCUGGGGUUGGGUCUUUUCAGUGCUAUUCUCGAGAUAGUGAAUAAGUCUCACGAGAUCUGAUGGUUUUAAAAAUGGGAGUUUCUCUGCACAAGCUCUGUCCUUGCCUGCCACCAUCCACAUAAGAUGUGACUUGCUCCUCCUUGCCUUCUGCCAUGAUUGUGAGGCCUCCCCAGCCACGUAGACUGUGAGAUCUCCAUUCAGCCUUUUUCCUUUGUAAAUUGCCCAGUCUCGGGUAUGUCUUUAUCAGCAACGUGAAAACGGACUAAUACACAUGCCAUCCAUUUUUCCUUCUCUGGCAUAGUUUUUUUUUUUUCAGUUAUUUCAUCUGUAUAUAUUUCAGUAUUCAUCUCUAAAUAUAGUGAUUUUAAAAAACAUCAUUUUGCAAUAUGAAAAAGAUAAUUUCUUUGUAUCAUCAAGUACCCAACUGUGUUCAUAUUAAUUGUUCAUAUUAUGAACACAUAUUAACUGUGUUCAUAUUAAUUCUUUCAUGAAAAGACGUUCUAAAAUGUAAAGUUCAAUCUCUCGAAACUUUCCUUUUUGAUUGGUGCUUUCUUUGUCUGAUUAUUGAAAUCUUUCUAUACCGUAAGGGCAUGAAGAUAUUCUUCUCUAUUUUGUACUAGAACUAUUAUUAUUUGACCUUUACAUUUAGGUAUAUAAUGUGCUAGUAACUGAUGCUUAUGUAUUAUGUGUAAUUGGGGUCAAUAUUCAUUUUUUCUACUUAAUAUCCAAUUCACUCAGCAUCAUUUAUUGAAUAUAUCAACCUUUCCCUACUGAACUUCUGUGUACUCUUUAUCCUAAAUCACAUAAUUUUUUUCCCCAUAUACUUGUGGGUCUAUCUCUAAAAACAGAAUUUUGUUAUGUCUGGGAAACAGUCAAUGUCCCCAUGGGGCAGCCUUUCUUAUGGAACUGACAUUUUUAUCAGAGGCAGAUAGUCUUUCUUUUAUAAGCAGAAAAUAUUUUAUUGUCCUCAAAAUUGCUAAGAAUGAAUUAAUCCUCAUUUGCUAUUAAUUUCAAUGUACUGUUCCCACACCCAGUAAUAAUAAAUGUAUAAUUAUGUUUCCCUUGACCAUUGAUUUCAGUUGUGUUUUCUCACACCUGAAUUAUUUUAUUAGUUAUCUACUUCUGAGAAACAAGUUACACUAAAAUAUCUCAAUCUAAAUAUUUUAAAGUACUAGCUAUAUUGUUUGCUCGCUUUGCUUAUGGCCAGUAAUUUGGGUUUGAGAUUAGUUUGGCUAUUCUGCUGCAGUCCUUGGAAAACAGCUCACUGGAUGGCAGUAACCUCAAUUCUCCACCCAGACUGGGUGGUGUAAGGUGUCCACACUCGUGCCUGUGCUGCUUGGGACUGGCGCCCAGCUAGGGUUCUCUCCACAUCAUCUCUUAUCCUCCAGGAGGAUUACCUGGGCUUAUUCAAUGCGAACUCCCAGUGGAAACCCCAUUUCCGGCAAAAAAGCACAAUAGAAGCCAUUAGCCAUGAGACUGUAAAAUAAGAAAAAGAAAAAUAAUCGACAGAAGAAUAAAGGUGUUCCAGGGCAAGAAACUAAAACAUAUUUCUAAAACUGAGCUGCAGAUAGAAUUCCUGGUUUCCUGGUAGUUAAAGAAAGAGACAAAGUGUAAGGAGUUACACAGUUAUUGUCAUUAGCUAAAAGAAAUUUCAUAUUUGUGGCCUAAUAGGCAUGGAAAUAAAAUGCUAGAAGGAGCAGGGCAUGAUGGUGCACACCUGUAGUCCCAGCUACUCAGGAGGCUGAGGCGGGAGAGUGGCUUGAGCCCAGGAGUUUGAGGCCAUAGUGAGCUAUGAUUGCACCACUGCACUCCAGCCUGGGCAACACAGUAAAACUCUGGGAAAUGAAGAGACAAAAAAAAAAAAAAAAAUGGCAUGGAAGAAAUGUCAGAUGGAAUAACCACAAAGUAAUGAAUAUUCCCCAAAUAAUGAAUGUCAUGAAACCAAAAAGUUAACUUACUUCCCAAAUGGUACAUUGUGUGGAAGCUAUUCACUGCACACUAAAACAAUAGUAAAAGCAAUAUACCUCUGAAUUGUUACAUAAAACAUACAGUUCUAAAUGGGUGUGUUUAUUUUUAUACACAAACAUGAAUAUAAUGUAUGUAGAAAAUGUGUGGUAUAUAGAAGAUUAAGAUAUGUUAGGACUCUAGCUCCUUCAGGAACUCACUUCUAUAUAGUGCCUUUUAAAUUAUUGUCACACCUCCUUUAACUAUAGAUAUAGUAAUAGCAAUCUUCAGUGAUCCACAAUGGGUUAUAUAAAUCUCCCACUUCAAAACCUUAAUACAGAAUUAUGUUUCUGUGAAAAAGUUAACUUGGUGUUGAAAACAAAAUGUAUUUUCAUUUUUCCCCUUUUCCCUAUAUUACUUAAAACAUAAUAAUUUAUUGUUAGAGGGCAUUCAGUGGACCAGUGACACUAUUUACUUUAAUUCAGGUAAAAUAGAAAUAUUAGCACAAUUUAUUUAUUGAAAUAUCAAAUUGAAAACAGACAAAAAGUCAGUGAAUUUGAGAUCUAUUACAUUUUCCAGUGUACUAAGAGUUAAACAUGUAUUCUGUUGUAAUAUUACUCUAAUACUUGAUACAUUAUCUAUUCCUCGUUCAAGUGAUUCAAUACAAAUUUUAUUUUGUAGCAUUAUGAAGAUCAGUAAUGUUUCAAACAGUGGAGUUUCAAACUUUAAAAAUGUGUGUGUGAUGUUUCCCUGAACCCAUAUGCAAAAUGUCUGAGAACAGAAUAGAACUAGCAUUCAGAUCUUGGUUCUGAAUACUCUUCUCCAGUAUAAGGAAUCAGCGCUCUUUGAAGAAAUGCCUGAUUCCACCUCUGGGGCAGGACAUGAGCAAGAUGAGCCUGGGGCAUCUUACAGUGCCUGAAAGGAAGUGCUCAAAAAAUAAAGGGAUGGGGACAUGGUUUGGAUCUGUGUCCCUACCCAAAUCUCAUGUUGAAUUGUAAUCCCCAGUGCUGGAGGUGAGGCCUGGUGAGAGGUGAUUAGCUCACGGGGGCGUUUUCUCAUGGCUUAUCACCAUCCCUCCCCCUGCUGCUGUCCUCGCGAUAGUGAGUUCUCCUGAGAUCUGCUUGUUUCAAAGUGUGUGGCAUCUCCCCACUCCCUCCGUCUCUUGCUUCUGCUCUGGCCAUGUUAAGUGCCUGCUUGUUCUUCACCUUCCACCACAAUUAAAGUUUCCUAAGAUCUCCCCAGAAGUUGGCAGAUGCCAGCAUCAUGCUUUCUGUACAGCCUGUGGAACUGUGAGCCAAGGAAAUGCCUUUUCUUUAUUAAUUACCCAGUCUCAGGUAGUUCUUUAGAGCAAUGCAAGAACAGAUUAAUACAGAGGGGAGCUUGUCAAAGGCUGUAGGGCCCAACUGGACAGAGCCCCCAGAGGCCAAAACCAGAAUAAUCUGGAUUAUGAACCAAAGCAUGAAACACAUUCGCAUGAGUCCAUGGAGAUAUGAAUACAUGAUUGCCAAAAUGAAUAACUAGGGGAGAAAAAGAUCCCCCAUAGGAAGAAUUCCAAAUAAUGUAUGAGCUGCUCUCUGUUCCAGGAGGUGGAGAUUUACUCCCUGCUGUGGCCUCCUGAGUGCUUGGAGACCUGUUUCCAAAGAGCACCACGUGAGCGGGGGGAAACCACAGCCUUGCCUCGAGCAGCACUGCCGCGGCCAGGCCACCAAGGCCGCAUCAUCAGUGACUCGGGACGCUGAUAGCGCAUCCUCUUGGCAUGGCAUGUUGAGAAGGGCACUUUACCUCUUUAGUCUCCCGAAAGCCCGUAACCCCAGUCUAAUAAGGAGAAAAACUAUCAGACAAACGCCAAAUUAGGGGCGUUCUACACAAUACCACCCACCUCCUCAACACUGCUAACGUCAUCAGACACAAGGAACAUUUGCAAAACUACCAUGAAACAGACUAGGCUAAGGAGAAAUGAAGACCAAAUGUAAUAAAGUCCCCUGGAUGGGAUCCUGCAAGAGAAAAAGGACAUUACGGGGGAAACUCAUGAAAUGCAAAUGAAGUUACAAGUGUAGUUCAUAGGAACUGCCAUUGUCGGACCCAUGGUUGUGAGCCGUUGCCCACAGAGACCUAGGAUGCAAUGAGGCAAGAGUGGAAACCAGGCAAGGGAUGAACAGAAAUUCUCUGGGCCGCCUCUGCAAUGUUGGGCAAAUCUAAAAUUGUUCUAAAAUUAAAAGUUUACUUACCCCAAAACAAAACAAAAAUCACAAUAGAUUUUAAAACAUUUUCAUACGAUUGCUUGGAUACAAUACUCAGCAGUCCAUCCAAGUUUGCAGCACAGUAAUACAAGCUCAGGAGUGGAAGCCAAAAUGAAAAAAAAAAGGAAGCAGAGCAUGUACAGUGGGGUUCCAUUUCCGUAAAGCUCAAAGCCAAGCAAAGCCAGUCAACCUCCCACUUAGGAAGAGGCCGGCGAACUAGCAAACACCUCUAGUUAUACAGCAAAGCCCAGAUAGCUUUGACCUAUGGCGGGGUGAUCAAAUAAGGGUGCAGAGGUAGUGUGAACAUGACGUAUAGCAUUCUAUGUCUAAAUUUGGAGUUUUAAACAUUGCUUUACUAUCAUCUUAUUCGUUAUUAUUAUUUACCCAUAUACAUGCACAUAUAUAUUUAGCUGGAAAUGUGAUUUACUAUGCAUAAGUUUUAUGUAUAUAUGCAUAUAUAUAUUCAGCUGGAUGUAUAUGUUUUAUCAUUGUUGUUUUGUUAGUUACUAUACAUUUAUUUAUUAAACUUUUAUAUUUGUAUGUAUAAAUACAUUUACACACAUAAAAUACAGAUAUAUUUUUGUAUAUUAUCUGUAUAGUUUUAUGAAUAUGCAGAUAGAUUUUUUGUAUUUCACAGAUUUCUAUUAUUUAUAUAUAAAUUUGUAAUGGUCAUGCAUUUAUAAAUAUACAAUACAAUUUAGCUUUAUUUUUGAUUGCACAUAUUGGGUUGGAUAUAGUCAAUACAAUGUUUUAAUGGAAACAAGGUGCCAAAAGCAAUAUCACUGGGCUGAACAGAAUUCAGACCAGACUGGCAGCAUCAAGUAAUAAGCAAAAAUGUAAAUCUAUUGUGCAAUUAUUAUACAACUUUUUUAUUUUUAAUUUUAUUACUUUUACUUAUUGAGUUGAAAGUUUUUUAAACAUCAUCAGACAUAUAUAUGAUUUGUUGGUACUGUCCACCAAUAUUUAGCUUGUCUUUUCAUUUCCUUAGGGGCAUCUUCUGAAAAGCAAACAUAUUUAAUUUAAAUGAAGUCCAUUUUUUUUUCACUCAUGGUUUAUUUGGUGUUAUGUCUUAAUCAUAUUGCUUCAAAAUCACAAUGCUUUUACUCUAUGGUGUAUUAGAGAAGGUUCAAAAUUUUAAUCCUUAGAUUUAGAUCUGUGAUCCAUUUAAGUUAAUUUUGUGCAUAGUCUGAAGUAAUGAUCUAGGAUUAAUUUUUCCACGUGUAUAAGCAACUUAGAACCAUUUGCUAAAACACUAUUAUUUCCCUAUUGAAUUGUCUUUCUAUGUGUGUAAAAAAUGACCUGAUCAUAAACAUAAGGGUUUAUUCUUGGACCGUGAAAUGUACUCCUUUGGUCUAUAUGUCUUAACUUUACGUAAAUACUAGACUCAGUGAUAUGGGUUGGCUCUGUGUCCCCACCCAAAUCUUAUCUCCACCUGAAACCCCUGUGUGUUGAGGGAGGGAGGUGAUUGAAUCAUGUGGGUGAUUUCCCCCAUGCUGUUCUUGUGAUACUGAAUGAGUCUCAAGAGAUCUGAUGGUUUUAUAAGUGUUUGGAAGUUGCUCCUUUAUUCUUCUCCUUCCUGCCACCUCGUGAAGAAGGUGCCUGCUUCCCCUUUGACUUCUGCCAUGCGCUGUAUCAUUUUUCAUUCCAAUGAAUUAUGUAUAUGAGUACCAACACUCCACAUCUUCCUACUCAUUCGUCUCAUUGUUUUCAAAUGUUAACCAUAUUAGUCCAUCUGUAGGAAAAUAUAGUUUGCAUUUUAUUUAUGAUGCACAUUUUAUUUAUGAUGUAUAGCUGCUUUCAUAGCUAUAAAAUCUGGCUGGUGGCUCAUGCUUAUAAUCCUAAUACUUUAGGAUACUGAGGUGGGAAGAUCACUUAAGCUCAGUAGAUUUAGACCAGCAUGGGCAACAUAGUGAGACCCCAUCUCUACAAAACAAACAAACACAUAAAUAUACAUAUAUAUAUUUGUACAUCUGUAUAAAAUGUAUAUAUGUGUAUAUACAACUGUGUAUAUGUAAAUAUAUAUACACAUGUGUAUAUAUAGAUAGAUAUAUACAUGUGUAUAUAUAGAUAGAUAUAUACACAUGUGUAUAUAUAGAUAGAUAUAUACACAUGUGUAUAUAUAGAUAGAUAUAUACAUGUGUAUAUAUAGAUAGAUAUAUACAUGUGUAUAUAUAAAUAGAUAUAUACAUGUGUGUAUAUAAAUAGAUAUAUACAUGUGUAUAUAUAAAUAGAUAUACACAGAGGGAGAGAGAGAGAAAGAAAGAGAGACAGAGAGGAAACCUAUAAAACCAGUAGAUUUAACUUCAUUUGUCGAACAUGCAGAAUGAGACGUGGCCUUCAGCUUAUAGAUUGUUAUGAGAAUAAAAAAACUGGCAUAGUUCAAGAGAUAAUGUCUCACAUAGAAAGGUAUUUAAUAAAUUUGAGUUUCUUUUUUUAUUUCAUAAAAUAAUUCUACGGUAUUUAUAGCAUGAUAUGAAUAACAGCAUACUGACUCCAGUGACAUUUAUCUUACAUCUUCUUAUGAAAUGAAAACCUUCACUUUCCUCAUAUAUCACCAAAAGUUAUUUUAGAAUUUUUCUGAGAUUCCUUCCAACUUUAAUAUUAUAACUCAUUGAACUUAUGAGUUUGAUGUUCUGCUAGAUUAACUUUUAUUUUCUUUAAGCAGCUAAGGAAUAUAAUUAUGAUUUCCAAAAAUAUUAUUAAAAGCUUGAAAUCAUUCCAGGAUAUGACUAUGUGUUAUGCUUUGGGGAAAAAUUGCUAAUAUUUUUCAGUACUCUUUAUGUGACAUGCACUAUGCUAAGCACAUGCAUUAGGUCAUUAAAUUUUUAAGGAAACCAGUGAUAAAUACUUGUGAUUAUCCCCUUAAGCUGACAAGAAAACUGAUAUUUACAAUAGUAUCUUGCCCAGUGUUGCUAAACUAGUACAGGGAGAGGAUAGGAUUUUUUUUUUUUUUUUGAGUCAGAGUCUCACUCUGUCACCCAGGCUGGAAUCGCACCAUUGCACCCAAGCCUGGGCAACAAGAGUGAAACCCCGUCUCAAAAAAAAAAUAAAAAUAAAAAAAGAAGAAGAAGAAACAUCAAUAGCAAAAAUGAUAGGUAACACCUAGCACAUGGCAUGUAUUAAGCAGUGUUUUAAAUACUUACAUGUUAACUUAUUAUGUUUCUACAACAUUCUACGGAGGGGCUAUUCUCGUUAUCUCCAUUUUCAGAUGAGGACAUUAAGUUGUAAAAUCACACAGCUGCCUUGUGCAAGAGAAGCUCUUUACCCAAAGUGGCAUGUCCUCUGAUUCCUGACUUUUAACCCGUCUGCUAUGUGCGUAAUGCUGAAUCAUUUCUUCAAAAGUCUGCUUUUGAAGUUAAAAAAGGAUUUAAAAAUGUGUAGCAGUAUGACCAGUAUAGGCAUUGAAGUGAAGAUUUCUCAAAAUGAGACUAGGAAGCCGCACAGGAGUGAAUAGUAUGAGGUGAAAAUGCAUCUACUUUCACCGUGACCAUUUUGGGAUUUUGAUAGUAACGCUUCCCUGUGGAUAUAUCUUAUAAACAGUGACUAGAUGACAUGAGAUAAAGUGUUGGGCAAAUAGGUGGCACUCUGGCCUAGUAUCUCUUUUUGUGAUGUCUCUCCAUUUUGGGGGAAUGGACCCAUAUUUAAUAAAUUCCUACUAGAAUAAGGAAGUGCAAGAUUCUGAAGGAAAAACAAAAUAGUAAUGUGUCCAUGAAUUUGGGAGACUUCUGAACACAGAGGAGACAGAGAAUUGCUAUGUGAGGUGGGCAUGGACAAAGGAAACACUGACUUUUACAGAAGUAUAAGGCGAGAUAUGAUGAUUCCUAUAUUCACUGAUGGUAGUAACCCAUGCAUAUUUGUUUACUUUAAUGUAUAACUCAAAUAGCUGGAAGGCAAGGAGAAUCCAAGAGUUGGACAGACGGUACAUUGAUGAGCAUAUUAUGAGAGGAUGAUUUAGCAGCAGGGCAGCGUUGCCACCGACCUGCCAUCCCCAGCAUGGAAAACGUUCAUCAGAGUCCCACACACUCCACUGAUAGCCUUUUGAGAAAACUGAAGGGCCAGAGAGCCAACUUCCAUGUUCCAUGCCAUUGCUGCUAUUUCAGAUAAAAUUAUUUUUAGCACCUAACUGUCUUUCAGAACUACUGUCAUAAAACCACAGGUUUUGAGAAUUUAAAGAUCUCAUUGUCCACCCUUACAAGCUUAAUGCAUGACGCAUCUGAGACCUAGUGAAAUGAAAUAAUGAAAUAAGAUGCCUAAGGCUGCAGAGAUAUUCCACGAAGGAACCAAGAUAAGAACUGCAUUUUGUUCUGUUUGUGAAAUAGUUACCUGAGUCCAAAAACAACUCCUGUAAAUAAGAAUGAAUACAGAAACCUAUCAUGUCUGAAGGUGUACAAAACCACUGUGUGUGGUUCUAGAUUGUGAGUUACACCAGAAACAGGAGACAGUGAAUGAAAAGACAGGUGAUUAAGGAAAAAAGAUAAUUAUUUAAGUCCAAAGGUGAUACUAGAAUUGCUGUUUUUAAGCAGACAAUAAAUUUUGCUGAUACAUAGUCGAUGAAUUUUUUAAUCUAGUUAUUAGGAUUGCUAAUCCAACUUUUAAAUAAUUUCAAAGCAGAAGAAUUUACAGACAUGGUGGAUUAACACAGUGUAGCUAGUGUUUAUAUACAAAACCUGCAGGUGGGUUAUGAGGGAAUCGCUGUUGCUACGGAAAACGCUGAAAUUAACCACUAACAUAAGUAGAAGUAGACUCGACUUUAAAAAAUGAAGGCUCAAAGUAACAUGACUAGAGACGAAGUUGUCAUUGUUUUUCCUUGAAAUUUCUCCUGGGCAAACAUCAAAGGGCAGAACAAGGCUGAAGUGCAACAACUCAAGAGAAAAUUUUCUUCCAUAACAGGCUCAGGCAGGUGCCCAGACCUGGUUUAUAAAUGCCCAACGUUGGCCGGGCGCGGUGGCUCACGUCUGUAAUCCCAGCACUUUGGGAGGCCGAGACGGGUGGAUUACCUGAGGUCAGGAGUUUGAGACCAGCCUGGCCAACAUGGUGAAACCCCAUCUCUACUAAAAACACAAAAAUUAGCCAGGCAUGGUGGCAUGCAUAUGUAAUCUCAGCUACUCAGUAGGCUGAGGCAGGAGAAUCGCUUGAACCUAGGAGGCGGAGGUUGUGGUGAGCCGAGAUGGUGCCACUGCACUCCAGCCUGCGAGACACAGUCAGACUCCGUCUCAAACAAAACAAAACAAAACAAAACAAUGUUUAGGAACUUAUGGAAUAUUUGGUGUUUGGGGAUUAAUGAGGUGAAUUCGAAGUAAAUAAAACUGAAGAUACACUACAAUUUUUAGGUAUCUGUUUCAGCUCUGUGAUUUCAAACCUACAAGGCAAAAAUAAUGAAAAUCAAAUGUUGGUUAUAUCUUAGCAUUGCAUUUUAUCUGAAAAGCAUACAUACUGAAAAGUUUUAUCACAAAGAAAAGAUUUCAACGUUAUUCUGCCAAAGACUAAUGCAUUUCGUGGACCAGUUGCUGUUUUCCACUUGGAAUCCACGCACCUGACAAAUACUCAAUGGCUUCGUCCUCUCGCCUAAGGCUUCGAAUCUCUGAAGCAUAUGUCCAGAUAAUUCAUAUUGAAUACGACCCUUUGAAUGUGGAGAAAAAGAACUGAUGACAACCUCAAAAACAUCAUAACCCUGAAAAUUGUAAAUAAAACAUGAAAUAUGUGAAGGAGGCAUGGUAAAAAUAUAUAGAAACCAAAAGCACAAUUACAUAUAUGCAUUUCAAAACACACUCAUUAGAAUAGUCCACAGGUUGUCUGUCCUCACAAGCGUCUCAGUGUUCAUUAACAUCUGCCCAUGGACUACAGCUUAUCUCUGAAACAGUCAGAAGUCUAAAGGGAAUCGGCAAUAAUAGGACUGCUUUAGCAUUUUUUAAAUAUAAAGCACAAUGAAGUCAAUUGUUGAACGGUGUCUAUCCUUACUUCUCUGGGUGUGUGACUAUAUUUUACCUGGAUGUUGGCUCCAUAAUCCACAGAUAUUUUAUUUUUCUCUCCAUUGCUGUAUUCCCAGCAAAGAAAAAAUAGUAGUUACUAAAAAAAAUUUAUUGAAUGAAUGAAUGAAUGAAUGAUUCGACUGUACCUGGUGGGCAUGUGUGUGUUCUUUUAUUUGGUAAAAUAAGAAUUUUUGGGAGGCUGAGACAGGAAAAUUGCUUGAAACUGGGAGGCAGAGGUUGCCGUGAGCUGAGAUCAUGCCACCGCGCUCCAGCCUGGGCAACAGAGUGAGACUUUAUCUCAAAAAAAAAAAAAAAAAAAAAGAAAAAAAAAUUAUCACCUUUGAAUCAGUAUCCUUUUUUACAAAAACACUUACUCUACUGUGAAUCACACAAAAGGCUGGUAGUCACUGAUGUAUAGCAUAUUUUAAUUCCAAACUUAAGGUAAUACAAACAAUAACUCUAUGGGAAAUUGCACUAUUGAGAUGCCAACUAUUGACAGUGUUUAAAAAAAAGUAUGCCCAUAUAGGAAAUUGCAUAUUAACAUAUUCAGUACACAUAUAAUAUUAUCCAUUUUCUUUAAAAAAAUGCCUUGAAAGGAAUUUUUCAGUUCAUUACAAGUUAUGUUUUUAUUCCAAGAAAAAUAGGAUUUUACUGUGAGUAGGUUGGGUGAUUAAACAAAGUUCCAGCUUAGGUUAUCACCCAUUUUUCAAACAAUGCUGCAGGGCGUGAGGCUAACUGGAGAGGCAGGAAGAAUGAUUGUGUUUAUUAGGCACUGGGCAGGCUUUCCUUUUCUUACCUUUGAGUUGCCCGGGAUUUUCACUCUAUCCCUUCUUAGCAACUCCGCAUUUCAAUUAGGCAUCCAAAGGGAAGCAGAGAAAAUACAGAACUCUCUGGACUCAGGCAAGCAGAGCCUGUGGUCCCCCUAGGACACUGGACUGGAAUCGGCUGGAGGAGAAUCACGUGGACCUCAAAGCUCAGAGGUGGGAAGAAGGCUUCAUCCUAGCAGAAGCUCAAGUGUUCUGAAUAGAAUCCACAGCCACCACACCUGUUAAUGCAAGGGAAUUCCGUGUCCUCGGAUGUCUCAUUGCACCUUUGCCCACAUGUGUCUCCCUUUUAGGCAUAACUGUUAGGACCUGGGUUGGAAAAGUGAUUCCAAGAAAAGGGGUACAGUGGGCAUUUCUGCCUCUGGAAUAGGCAGACACAGUGCCAAUGCCACCAUCGGGGCUGUCUUGUGACGCCUCAGGCUAGAGGUAAGUGGGGAAGGGAAGCUGCUCCUGUGACUUUCCAACCGAAUUUAUAAUGGAAAAGUCGUGUGUUUCCUUGUUCUUUACGCUUGCUGUGUGUGAACCAUUCUACCUUGUUUCUUACCAUAUGGACUAUGGGUUUCACAUUUAGAUCCUGAGGUUAAAAGGAUGAUUUUUAAUUACCCACAGACGGGCUGGGGUGAUUUUUAAUUACCCACACAAUACAGUGUGUAUUGCAUAGCAUUCCUUUUCUUAGAAAAAAAAAAUUCCCUAGUAAAACUUGGUUGAAAAUGCCGUCUCUUCUGCAUCCCAGUCUGCACUAGAUGGUCAGAGGGCUCACUCACACAAGCAUGGGAUUCGCCAAGAAUAUAUACUCAGUUUUGCUGAAAAUCUGGUGUUUUCAGGACAUUUCAAUACCAGGUCAGUGAGAGAGAAUACUUGAGUUCUGGUUUAUCAAAAUAGUUUCUUUUGAGUGGGCAAGUUAAUGGGUACAGCCAACUAAAAUUGUUUCCAAGCCCUGGGUUAUAUGCACACAUAACGUUAAAAUGUUUUAGAGAAAUAUAGUUUCAGAAUGCCACGUUAUAGGAACAUAUUUAUGCAGGGAGUAAAGCAAAAGAGAACUCGGAACUUUUGUGGGUUGCAGGCUGCAUCACGCUGAUGAGUAUACUCUAAACAAGGGAGGUUAGAGGGCAGGAGAAAGACCUGAGCCAGUCCUACAGGUGAGAAAACGCACCAACCCUCAGUGGAAACUCCAACCAACAAACAUUAUCAAAGUCCUUAAAACGCACCAACCCUCAGUGGACACUCCAACCAACAAACAUUAUCAAAGUCCUUAAAACGCACCAACCCUCAGCGGAAACUCCAACCAACCAACAUUAUCAAAGUCCUUAAAACGCACCAACCCUCAGUGGAAACUUCAACCAACAAACAUUAUCAAAGUCCUUAAAACGCACCAACCCUCAGUGGACACUCCAACCAACAAACAUUAUCGAAGUCCUUAAAAUGCACCAACCCUCAGUGGAAACUUCAACCAACAAACAUUAUCAAAGUCCUUAAAACGCACCAGCCCUCAGCGGAAACUCCAACCAACAAACAUUAUCAAAGUCCUUAAAACGCACCAACCCUCAGCGGACACUCCAACCAACAAACAUUAUCAAAGUCCUUAAAACGCACCAACCCUUAGCGGAAACUCCAACCAACAAACAUUAUCAAAGUCCUUAAAACGCACCAACCCUCAGUGGAAACUCCAACCAACAAACAUUACCAAAGUCCUUAAAACGCACCAACCCUCAGUGGAAACUCCAACCAACAAACAUUAUCAAAGUCCUUAAAACGCACCAACCCUCAGUGGACACUCCAACCAACAAACAUUAUCAAAGUCCUUAAAACGCACCAACCCUCAGUGGAAACUCCAACCAACAAACAUUAUCAAAGUCCUUAAAACGCACCAACCCUCAGUGGACACUCCAACCAACAAACAUUAUCAAAGUCCUUAAAACGCACCAACCCUCAGUGGAAACUCCAACCAACAAACAUUAUCAAAGUCCUCAAGCACUUACUGAAAAAGUUUCUGACUUUUUUCUGCCUGAGAGAGUAUCGUAAUUAUGUGACUCAGAAGAUGAGAUUUUCCCCCUUUGGAUUUCGUAGGUGUUCAUUCCUGGUAGUUUUUAUUUUUUGCUUUGAAACAAGCAAUUGCCUUUUCCUGACCUUGACAUAAAUAAUCAACGUCUCUGAGAAGAUCGUGGGUUAUAGUAGAGUUACCUGAAAAACUUUGCUGAACAGUAUGCUGUUUGACAACGUGCAUCUGCUGUUUGCAUUAUUUAAAAUAUGCAACAGGAUGGUACUGUGCUCUGUUUACAAUAUGCAAACGUAAGAUGCUUCAACCUUGACAAUGCUGCUCAAAUUAUUCCUCAGUGUCAAAUUCUCCAGUUUAUCCAUGUAAAUUACACAUAAUAAUUUUAUAGACAGAUAUUUGUGGUUAAGAAUAAGCUGUUAAAUCUAUUAUUCCCUAUUCCCUUCUCAAACACCUUAGCAAGUGUAUGCCAUUAUUAUUAUUUCCAUUUUAAAGACUAAAAAGCUGAGGCUAUAAAAGCUGAAGAAAUUUGCCAACAAUCUUUGCAACUUUUGCAUGGCUAGUCCUGUGGUCAAGUUCUAAUCAUUGAAACUGUUGUGAUUUUCAGGGGAAGCAGUAUGAAAUAAUGUUUGCAAUUCUAGGUAAAUAUAAGUAAUAUAUGAUCAAAUUAAUACGCAAUAAUCCAAUAAUCAACAGCAGCUCAAAACUUGUAUCCUACAGCUUUUAGGAAGAAUGUACGUAAGAAAAUAGCUCUGAUUUCCCUGAGGAAGGAACUGCAUUUCUCCUAAAAAAGAAUUCUUAGGUAUCAAGGAAGAAUAUGCAUCUAUAUUCUUUGUAACAAAUGUAUAUUCACUUUUUUUAUUUUUUAUUUAUUUUUGUUUUUUUGAGAUGGAGUUUCACUCUUUUGUCCAGGCUGGAGUGCAAGGGUGUGAUCUCGGUUCACUGCAACCUCCGCCUCCCAGAUUCAAGCAAUUCUCCUGCCUUAGCCUCCCUAGUAGCUUGGAUUACGGGCAUGUGCCACCACGCUCGACUAAUUUGGUAUUUUUAGUAGAAACGGGGUUUCUCCAUGUUUGGUCAGGCUGGUAUCAAACUCCUGACCUCAGGUGAUACACCCGUGUUAGCUUCCCAAAGUGCUGGGAUUACAGGCAUGAGCCACCACGCCCAUCUUCACAUUUUAACUAUAUAAUUUUUUUAUUCACAUUUUAACUGUAUAAAUAAACAAAAUCCUAGUAAGCAAUUCUCCCCGAUAUAUAUUAAAGAGUUUGACCCACUAAUACAAUCAAAACUGGUUGAUUAGAAUCUUAGUUUCUGAAAGUGUUUAGUUUGGGAAGGAAAAAAAUGUGCUGGAGGGAAAAGAAAAAACAAAUGCAACUUGAUUAUAUGUAGUUUGUACCAACUGAGGGAACAAUCAUAAUGCCCCCAAGAUAUUCCAAUCCUCUCAGGAAAAGUAACCUUGUACAUCACAAUUAGAAAAUGUGUGGGUAGGCUGGGCGCAGUGGCUCACCCCUGUAAUCCUAGCACUUAGGGAAGCUGAGGUGAAUGGAUCCCCUGAGGUCAGGAGUUUGAGACCAGCCUGGCCAACAUGGUGAAACCCCAUCUCUACUAAAAAUACAAAAAAUUUGUCAGGCAUGAUGGCAGGUGCCUGUAGUCCCAGCUACUUGGGAGACUGAAGCAGAAGAAUUGCUUGAACCUGGGAGGUGGAGUUUGCCGUGAGCUGAGAUGGUGCCAUUGCACUCCAGCCUGGGCGACAAGAGAGAAACUCAGUCUCAAAAAGAAAAAAAAAGAGAGAGAGAAAAUGUGUGGGUAUCAAAUCUCGUCGAAAUGCACCCUCAUAACUGGUCCAUAACAUUUCAAUAACACAUUUGCUAUGACUUAUCUUGAGUGUAUUUAAUAAAUAUGCAGUUUUAAGAAGCAAAUUCACAACAAGAUGUAGACCAAGUUAAAUGCUUCUAUAAAGAUGAGCUAGUGUAUUAAUUCUCCUUCAGCAAUUUUGGGGGGCAGUCUUUAUAUACCUUCCAUUAUGGAAGACAGGGUCAACAAGCCAUUUAUGGUAGCUGAUUUGGGGGGAAAAGUCAUAGUCUUCAUCACCUGAAAUUGGUAAUAUAUGUAUACUUUAACGUUUUAUGAUUCCAAUUUACUUCAUGGAGGCUGGCUAUUUGUAUAUUUUUGUACUCAAGAAAUUUAAAGAAAGUUUUUGACAUGAUCCAAAAAUAACCAAAGUAAAAGGAGUUUGUCAGCCAGUGUUUAUCUAAAUUAAUAUUUAUUGCAGAAGACCAACUUUCACCCACCCACUCUUCACUAAUUUGUAUGAAAAACUCACACAGACAAUAAUGGGAAUUCCGCUGGCAUUUUUCUGGAUAACUAUGAUUUUCUCACAUCUUUUGAAGAAAUGGAAUCAUCUAAGACAACACUUCUGUCAAAUUAGUAGCCUGUAGUAUUUGCUUGUGAUUUUCUAUUUCCCAGUGGUUCCAAAAGCUGAUAGAUUUUUCUUUUUGCAAAACAUAUUGCAAAUAUAUGUUUCUAAAAUCUCCCCAUGUUGACAUAUGACAAAUAGUGAGUCUUAUAAGAACAAAUCUCCUACAGAUUUACAGACAAAUAGAAAGAUAUAUCCACAUGGCUUAUUAAAUACAGACAAUAUUAGUCUCUCACACUUUUAGUUUUGGUAGAUAAAACUGUUUACUUUCGCAAUUAAAGCUGUUCUGUCUACUUAUAUUAAGUGAAUAAUAGAAACAUAUCACCUUCAGCAUAAAAUAAAAUAUGUUUACGUAAGUGCAUUCAAAGAGAGAACCAUGUCCUAAGGCAUCAACAGAAAAGGGUAAGAUUGAGUGUUACGGUAGUCUGAAUGUGGAUAAUGAUGCAUAGUGACUGACAUUGAAGAGACAAUUAAAACGAAUCUGGCCAUAAAAAGAUACACAAGAAUAUAUAUUUUAUUUUUAUUCUCGUUUUUAGUCUACAAAUAAUUUUAAACAGAUGAUAAGUUUUUCAGUUGUUUCUAUCAAUAAUAGAGUUUGUAAACUAUUUAGAAAAAGUUUUUGCAUGUUUCCACAAUCUUUGUUUUGUAUUCAGAUUCCACUGUUUAUCAUCAGAUAAUAUCCUAUAAGUGUUUCUUAUAUUAUACUUUCAAUAGAAAUACUGGUAAUAUUAAUAUACAUUUUCUAGAAUACAAAUAUCUGCUUUCCUGAAUAUACAUUGAAUUUUUUAUGCAAACUUCAUUGCAAAAAUAAAAGACAGUAAAGUAGCAAAUUGUUGUCAAAUAUAGUUACAAUAUUCAAUAUUAUCAUUUGGUAAAUAAUACUAUCUAUAAACUGAUAUAAUAUUUCAUUUAUUUACUAUAUAUGAGCCAAAGCUUACUGUCCAGCAAAACUUGUGGUCUUAUACCUGACUUAAAAUACAAAGUACUAUGAUAGAUAGUGCUGGAAUUUUAUGAAGGACUUCCAAUUUCUUCUAUUAACCUCAGUAGUGUCUGCUACUUAUGCAAGUAUUUCAGCAUGCAAAUUACUUCUGAUAACCAAAAACAUUUCUUGAGCCGUGUAGCAUUGCAUAACAAAAGCUUUAGUAAAUUUAUUUUAUUCAUUUUGGGAACAGAAGAGUAUACUGGCUGGACAUCAGUCAUGCAAUGAUUUCCAGUUUUGCCUCAACUGGUGUGGCUGGUGGGACAUGUGCAUGUGCAUUUAUACCACUUAGGGAGGCUGCAGGACACGCCUGGUGGCUCACGCCUGUAAUCCCAGCACUUUGCGGGCUGAGGUGGAUGGAUCACUUGAGAUCAGGAGUUGAAGACCAGCGUGGCCAACAUGGUGAAACCCCAUCUCUACUAAAAAUACAAAAAUGAGCUUGGUGUGGUGGCGCACACCUGUAAUCCCAGCUACUCGGGAGGCUGAGGCAGGAGAGCCACUUGAACCCAGGACACGGAGGUUGCAGUGAGCCAAGAUUGCAUCACUGCCCUUCAGCCUGGGUGACAGAGUGAGACUCUGUCGCCAAAAGAAUAAAAAAAGGGGAGGCUGCAGGGAGUCAAGCAGCCUAGAUUCCCCCUGUUGUGUUCAUCAAGGAAAGGUAACAGCUUUCCAAAUGAAACCCCAAAUCUAAGACAAUUAAGAAAAAAUAUGUGUACUUGUUUCUAUCUUAGCCACGUGAGGUCCAGGUCCUGCUUCAACAGCAAGGUCCUCUGUGAGUCACAACACAGGACUUGGAUGCCAUAGGUUCUGGGGCUCAUUUAUUUUCAGCUCAUGGUCCGGGGGUGCUUUGCACGUCCUCUUCUCCAUUCUAUUGGCCCCGCGAUGUGACAGGAGACAGGAGAUGCGAUGUCACUUUUUUCCAAGUAGGAAGAACUAUGGGCUUAAUGAAUAGCUUGCAAGUUGCCACGCCGGGGUUUUCAGUGACAUGUUUGUGUGCAGGCGUCAGUUCCCAAAUAACGAAGGCCAAGAUGGCUUCAGGACAUUCAUUGUUACACAUCCAGGGACCAGGGAUCGUAUAGAAAAUCAGAUCACAGUUCUGGAUUCUCAUCCCAGAAAAGUGUGUGAAUGUGCAGACGAUGAGGGCCCACCUAGAUUAUAGACACAUAUUCCAGUAUUUCUCUGUAUAGUUCUGCUGAUUUGAUGGUGUUCUGAUUGUCUUCUUGUUGCUUGCAGUUAAAGAGCUCCUUUUUAGUGUUGCCACAUCAGUUCUCUAAAUCCUGAUCGUCUGAGUCAGAAUGAGGUGUGCCUUUUUCAUUCUGUGUCUUUCCCAAUCGAUGACAGAGAUUAGACACCUUUGGGGAACUCUUUCCACCAUAACGGAUGCCACAUGUAACUCUCAGGGCAGAGAUCCUCAAGGAGUUCACACAAGAGACAAAGACUCUUUGCCAUCCUCAUUCUCAACAGACAAAAAAGCCACUUAUGGUCAAAGUAAUCUAUUUUAUAGAAUUUAAUUUAGAAGUGAGAUAGGCUAAUGACUAGUUUUAUUAUUAAAAUGACCUUACUGUUAUUCAACCACGUUCAUUGUUUUUAUUCCUUAUGCUAUGUUUGUUCUAGUCAGCAUUAUCCUGAGUAAAUUUACACAGCCUGGCGGAAUCCACCGUGCAUUUAUACUCAACCCAGCUGACAGCCUUCAUUAUUUAUGUCCUUAAGGAUUUAUUGCCUUUCAACCCUCUUGUACCAGUUUCUGUAUCAGUGAGUAUCCUAAAUCUAGUUUAAGAAGGCAGGGAAUGUAUUAAUGUGCAUUAGGUCACAGAUCUCCAGAAGGGUCCAUUUGUCAAGCCAUGAAGCUACACAGUGAUAUGCCAUGUUCAAAGCCCAGGGUCACAAGCCCAGACCCUGUGGAGCCCGCUCUGGGAAGAGAUACAGUCAGUCCUACAGCUGGUACUGAACACCGGGAAUCACACCCCACACUCUCUGAGCUUGGGUCACCUCGAUCAUCCAUUUUGGGGAUAACCAUGUGCUGGUUUCUGAAUUAGAGCUGAAGACGCUUCAGGCUGAUUAUUGAAGACUCAAAAUAAAGUCUCAGGAUUCAUGACUUUUUCUUUGGGGAGGUGUAACAAGGGAAAUGCCCCAAACAUAGAAUGUUCAGGACCCAUGUCACAGGAGAAAUGUCCACUGUAAGGAUUCGCAUGAAUUACUGUAUCUUCCUGGGGUCCAUCCAAUGUGUCCAUCAAUACGAGGAAAGAAGGCCAUUUCACUGGGCAUGGAGGAAGGUUGACAGACCGUGCAUUGACAAAUACCAAGUACUUGUUCUCUCUCUCUCUCGCUCGCUCGCUCUCUCUCUCGUGUGUGUAUUAAUAUAUAUAUACACACACACACAUAUAUGGGGUUGGGGGGUCAGGCAGACUAUGUUUUGGGCUGAAAACCCCAGGAUAUUUAAUGUGUGCUUCUCUUUGCUUAAGUUCAGCAAAGAGCUUAUCUAUCUAUCUAUCUAGCUAUCUAUCUCUAUAUAUACAUAGAUUUAUCUAUCUAUAUCUAUCUGUGUAUCUAUCUAGCAAUAGGUAGCAAAGAAUUUAUAUAUCUAUAUAUCUAUCAAUAGAUAUAUGUAUCUAGAUACAUAUAUCUAUAUGUAUCUACAUCAAUAGAUAUAGAUACAUAUAUCUAUAUGUAUCUACAUCAAUAGAUAUAGAUACAUAUAUCUAUUGAUAGAUAGCAAAGAGCUUAUAUAUGUAUAUAUCGAUAUACACACACGUAUAUAAUGUAUAUACGUAUAUAUUUGUGCUAAAUUAUUAAACAUGGAUGUACUUUAUAAAUUAAUUAGCUCUUAUAGACACUUGCUACUUUCCUCUUUCCCAAAUUGGUGUUUUCUUCUUUCUAUUUAUCUUCAUUUCCUCUAGUGUCCAGCUGAAACUGUAAUUCUUCCUCUCACCCCACCCCAUGUCUUAUGUAGAGGGUUUCCAAAUCCUAUCAAACUUCCUUUCCAAGUGUCUUUGAAGCCCAACUCUUCUUUUCAUUUCGAUAUCACUAUCUUAGCUGGCCCCUCAUCACCUCAAGUGCAGAUUAUUUCAAAAGCCACUAAAUAAUAUGAAGGCUUCCAGCUUAAUUUUUCUGUCUUUUCAUUAUAAUUGCUCUUGGGUGUAUAUUUAAUGUCUUGUAAAGUCAGAAAGAGAGUUACCCUAACAUGAGAAUAUUUUCAUAAUGUUGACUUCUUAAUAAAUAAAUAAAUAAAUGUGAUUUUCCAUUUUCUAAAUGAGAAACUUCUCGGUUUUUAGCAAUUUUUAUAAUCUAGUUUUAAUCUGCCUUUCCAAAUAUAUCACUUUUUCCAUCACCACUAAUUGUCUCUUAUCCAACCAAACUGCGCUUUUUGUUUUCAAAAUCACGACCCGUUCCUAUUGUAAGCCCAUGAUCACCAAAAUGUAAGCUCCUCCCACCUGGAAUGUAUUCCUUGCUUUUCCUUCUACCUAAAACCAUAGAAAUGAUUACUAUUUCUCAGAAUCCUUUUCCGACACCCCAGUGGUGUUAUGUGUGCAGCAUGUCAACUCAUGGUCCUAAUUAUCUGUGCUAUUCGUUCUGCUAGCACCUGCAGCAUUGCUCAUCGCCUCCUUCAUGUAUGCACACCGUACUACCUCAAGUACAUUCUUAUCUCUUAUUGAACAGGGCGUAAAACUUCUUUCAAAAUUCUAAAAAUCAUGUAUCAUAGAAAUCAAGAGACUCUAUCAAAAACAAGUUUUUACAACUUCAUUUCACGAAUUUCUUUAUUCUCCACUCAACGUCAAAGCUGAAAAGUGACAAACAGUGCUUUAUGCACACAAAGUUCAUGAGUAGUGCACUAAAUUUCAAAGGGCAAAUAUCAACAUUAAUCUGACAAGCUAAAAUACCUCAUAAAAAUAAAUGAAGUAAAUAAUAAUGGAAUCUAAAAUGCGUGAGCAAUCUCAAGAUGAAAAAUGGCCCAGCAUAAACUAUUAUUUUAGGAUCCUGAAUAGCUUAUUGUACAUUUAUUUUUAGUAUUAAAGUUGUGACCAAAAACUUUUUUAUGAUAUUGCUAUCAGGGAAUUAAUAACAUAUAACAUAGACACUAAAUAUUUCUUACAUGCUUCGUCUGCAUUUAAAUUUUGUUCUGAGGAAAGUGAUUUGAUCCAUCAUCUGUCAAAAUUGACAGGGGAGACCCAUGUUUAAUUUUUUGAAUGUCUUCCUUUAUCCUAUUAGUUACUACAUAAAUGCAUGUUGGGUAAUACAGUGACUAUCAGACCUUCAGCUAAUUCAGGCAUGAAGUCCCAACUGUCCCUGGGAAAACAGAACUAAAAAUGGAGGCAUCACUCCUAAGUGAGCAGUGAAGCUUAAGCAAAGACAAGAAGGAUACAUAACUGUGUAUGAGAGUUGGCUAAUGGCAUCAGAAGACUGAGAUAACACUGAAGCAGACUUUGUACCCAGAUGUCUAAUCAGCUGGGUGGGUGACAUUGAUGGGCAUUCCAAAGGUCCAGUCUCAGAAUCAGGGAUGUAGCAGACACAGGCUCCCACAGGAGGCAUUUGGCCCUGGAAUGACAGACUCAACACAAUAGAAAGGAGACAGAGCUCUGAACCUGGAAGGGAGGCUACAGUUCCAUGCAGGCAGGUCAUUAGAGCUAAAAAAUGAAAAAAAAUUCCUAUCUACCACUAGCACACACUUGUUAGAAGCUACAUAGGCAUCAAAAUCUCAUUUAAGGAUGAGAGAUUGUUAAUGCGGUUAUCUCAAAAGUAAUUCACAAAAUACAAAGGAACCCAACAAUUUUAUAGGCACAAAAGUGUGUGGGUCACAAGAAUAUCUUGUUCAAAAUGUCACCAGAUGAAAUGAUGCAGAUUUGUUUCUUUUAAUAGUUUUAACUAGGGAAUAACACAGUAAAAUAUAUGAAGCGUACUUCUGUAAAUCGUGCAGCUUGGAUAAAUUUGAGCACACAUACACAGCUGUGAAAACACCACAUGAAUCAAAAUACAGAACAUGUCCAGCACUCUCAAGCUCCCUCUUGAUUUCGUUUCUUCCAGUCACUGACUCUAGUCUCCAUAGGAGUUAACCACUAUUUCGACCUCUAACUCUCAGCAGAUGGAUUUUGCCUGCUCCUGACCUCAUACAAAUGGCUUUAUACAAUUGUUGCUCAUUCAUGGAUGGCUUCUUUUGAUCAGCAUGAUGUCUUAGAAUUGUGUCCAUCCAUGGUUUAAUCUUUCUUAUUUAUAAUGUUCCAUUGUUUAUGAAUAAACCACUUUAUUUUUAUUCUCCUUUUGAUGGGGAAAUUUUAUUUCAUUGUUUUUUUCCUUUGCUACGGCAUUAGGGAUUGAAGCCUCUGUGAGCCUUCUUAUACGUGUCCUUUGCAGACUUUUACAGUUCUUUCUGCUGCAUGCACACAGGAAGAGAGUCUCUGGAACAUUGGAUAAACCCACUUUCAACGUAAUGCCUACCGCCUAAAGGGCUCGGGCACACCAGCUUCUGCCCUUAUCUGCAAACUAUCAGAGCUGCAGAUCCUCCACACUUUUCAAUUCUUUGUAUCGACAACUUUGCUUUGGUUGGAUAGCUUGUUCCAAGUGUAGCCGUUCUCACGGAUCUGUAAAGAUAAUGCAUUCUGACAUUAAAGUGCACGUCCUUUGUAAGUAACGCUGUUGAGCUCCUUUCAAUGCUUGCUGGACACUUGGAUAUUAUAUUCUUCUUUGAAUUAUCUGGUCUGAUGUUUUGUCCAUUUUUUAUAUUUUUCAAAUCUUUUUCUUAUUGAUUGGUAGAAAUUAUUUAAAUAUUCAGAAUACAAGACUUCUGUCAGAAACGUUUGACGAAAGUCUUGCUUCUGUAAGGGAUGCCUCCGAAUGCUAGGCAAUCCUUAGCUGGUAGCUGGGGGUCUGUGUUAACGAGGCCAAGCCACAUCAAUAAAUUGCUCUAGGUUCAAAAUUUCUUGGAAACAAUGACUUGGAUUCUAACUUAGUUGCCUCCUCUUCUUUUUUACUUCUGACCCAAGAAACAAAUAGUAUGAAGUGUGCAUGCCCUGCCCUAAGGGACGAGGCGGAUCUCCUCUUCAUGUCCCUCAGCUCUCUCAGGUCGUGCCCGAUGCUGGAAAAUCCUGGCCACCAUACGAAGGGAAGCAGAAGCCUGGUCAGGGGUCCCGUGUCAUAACCACUGGGAUCGGGGACACCAGUGCUCAUCCUGUUACAGUGUAACUCAUUUUCUUUUACACCAUAGUCACAUAUUUUUGUGUCCCUUUCCUUCAUGUGAUAGCUUUGUUAUGCCACAUAAAAUACAACUUCUGGGCUGGGUUUGGUGGCUCAUGCCUGUAAUCCCAGCACUUUGGGAGGCCGAGGUGGGGGGAAUCACGAGGUCAGGAGUUCGAGACCAGCCUGACCAACAUGGUGAAACCCCGUCUCUACUAAAAAUACAAAAAUUAGCCAGGUGUGGUGAUGAGUGCCUGUAGUCCCAGCUACUCAGGAGGCUGAAGCAGAAGAAUCACUUGAACCCAGGAGGCGGACGUUGCAGUGAGCCGACAUCAUGCCACUGCACUCCAGCCUGGAAGACAGAGUGAGACUCUGUCUAAAAAAAAAAGAAAGAAAGAAAAUACAACUUCUGGGAGCUGAGGAAAUACAAGGUGGAGGAGGAAUGAGUCCUGGAGCGACACAGCCUUGCAAACCGUCUCUGAUUGACAUUCCGUAACUUUAUCCUUUAUAUGACGUCAAGAGUAAUGCUGAGAAUAGAGUGCAAUCCUCAACACAGUAGGCAGGGGCAGGGUCAAUUAUGCAUUUAUUUUUCACAUUUGCAAAGAUAAUAUUUGUAUUAUAUAAUUAAUAUUUACCAGAGUAAUAAUUAUUAUACUUUCAGGAGAAAUAAAAACAGGAUAACGAUUUUCAUACACUGAUGACAUUUCAGGACCAAAGCACUUUAGUCAAAUUUGUUAGAGGGUCUUUGUAUCUGAAUCAUAAAUUCCAUCACCAAAGGUAAUCGUGGUCAUAAAGGAGGGUCCCGCGUUCGAGCAAAACCGAUGAAGUUUCUAUUGAUUUGAGAUUAUGCCUUACACUAAAAACCAAUAGUAAUUACAUCAAAUGAGCUAAAUUAAUGAAGUUAAUAUUUGCUGUUGGGAGAUUGUUAGAACUCGACCAACCUAGCGAACAUUCUAGCAUUACUAACCACUGCCUGGCAUAAGUAAUUUCUAAAAUUUCAAAGCCCACGUUAGUUAGUGAGGUGCAAUUCUCAACGGCAUUUUGACAUUUUGGUUGUGUUCCAGAAACAUGUGCAUACAUCGUGAGUGUGUGACUGAACAAAAACUAUGGCUCUCCUCUUCAUGUUAUUUUCACAGUUGGUGUAGGUCACAGUAGAUGAAAGUGACGGGAAGUCCAUUUCUAUGAUUUUCUUCUCCAGGCUACGGCAGGCUUUAUGGUGCUGUCUUUCUAGAGCCAUAGCUCAUAUAUUCUCUUUGGCCUGGGAGGGUUUCAUUCAGAUGAACAUGUGGUAGGAUGUUGGCCUUGUGGGACGAAGCCCCCAAAAUCAAUAGAUGAGGUACCUGGAUCUGGCCCUGCCAUGUUCUACCAUUGUGAUUUUGAGAGCCUGUCAACCUCUCCCAGACCCAUUUUCCUCAUUUGUAAAAUGAAAUGAAUAGAUUUUGGUGGUUUUGAGACUUUUGGACUAUGGAAGGCUUUCUUCAGAAAAGAAAAAGAAAUAACACAUUUCCCAAAGCCCAACAUAUACACCAAAUCCCAGUGUGCCUGCCACUCCCCUUGGCUGGAUGCUGGAGGCCUGUUCUCCACGUCUCUCUCCCCUUCACUCUGUAGUUGCUCUUGGGACACAGUUGUAAAACCCACACAAGGUUUCUUGGAAAGACCUGAACUAAACAGUUUCUAAGAUUUCUUCUUUGGCCAGGCACAGUGGCUCACGCCUCUAAUCCCAGCAUUUUAUAAGGCUGAGACGGGAAGAUCACGUGAGGUCAGGAGUUCAAUACAGCCUGGCCAAUGUGGUGAAACCCUGUCUCUACUAAAAAUAUAAAAAUUAGCUACGCAUGGUGGUACAUGCCUGUAAUCCCAGAUUACUCAGAACACUGAGGCAGGAGAAUAGCUUGAUCCCGGAGGUGGAGGUUGCAGUGAGCCGAGAUUGUGCCACUGCACUCCAGCCUGGGCAACAGAGUGAGACUCCCUCUCUAAAAAAAAAAAAAAAAGACUUCUUCUUCCUCUGACUUUCUUGAUGGACACUUUUCUCACAUGGGAUCCACUAAUGUCACCACCAGGGGAUGGCAGGAAAGGUGGGACAGAAGACCCAAGGGCCAAGGCAGAAGCAAGCAGAAGAGAGUUUCACCCUCAGGAUCGCAGUCAGGAAUCACACCACGCAACAUCGCACCCAGCCAGGGAGAUGCUGGCUGAGUAAAGGCACAUUUAAAGUCCACAGACUCCACACUCAGGGGCCAGGCCAUACGCGCCAGGAGCUCAUGGUGCUUGGAGAGCCUGAGAGCCAUGCACCAUGGGAAGCAUGGAAAGGAUGGAGAGGACAGUGAUGGGGCAGCCGCUCAGGGUUCCACGGGCCUUCCAUUUAUUGUUCUUUGCCAUCCUCACAAUGGGCUUCCUCCUCCUGGUCCAAGAUGCCCUUUGAACAUCCUCUUUGCAGCUGUCAGUUAGAAAUAAGGGACAAAGGGUCCAUUCCUGCUUCUUGCGACACAGUGGAAACCAUUUUCAUGCACAUACAGACUGUUCAGAAAGUGGCCCUGCAGCUCCUCUCCACUGCAACUGACUUUGGCAAAAGAAUCCUAGUUCACACAGUCAUGUGCUCAGCCACAGACCGUGGCUCUGAUCCAGGAGAGAGAGGAGAAUAAAUGACUAGCACUAACCGUGAUCUCUGAGAAGAAUCUGAUUUUCCUUAAGGGCAGUUGGAAUAACACUCACCUGAUCACGGACCUAGUUUGAGCCUGGACAGGGUGUCCUAGUCCUCUCUGUGCUCACUUUUUAUCCUAUCACCUGUUUAUAAGGAACGAAAGAACAUGCCAUGCCCAGUCCUGGCAUCUGGGAUUUUGGGACUCUAGGAUGUAAGCUUUGGAGGGCUUUUGGUUACUCACUCAUUAUCAUUUUGUAUAUUAAUGAAAUUGUGGCUUCAUUUUAUCAUCAGAAACCUGACUCUGUUAUUACAUAAGAUACUCUCUUUUACCUGUGUUGGGCUAGGCAGUCUGAUAUUCAGAGCAAUUCAACCAAUAAGAUCUUUGAUAACUCAGUUUCCCUAUUUUUUCAAUGAUGAGAACAAUCACAGCCUAAUACCAGACAGGUGUGCUGAGGCUGGAACUAGAAUGGGAAUUGUCCCAGAAGAAGGCUCUCACAAGAAUCCAAGAAAGGAUGAAAGGAGAAGGAGUUGGAGGAGGAGGGGAAGAAGAGGAGAGAAUGUUUCAAAUCAAUCAAAGUCAUCUGUGUGUAACCAUUGCAAGAAUUCAAUCGCACUGAGAAAAAAUUAUUAACACAGAAAACUAUCUUUUCUUGGACUGAUUUCCAGUUGAUAACUCUGGGCCAGCAUCUUUCAUGGAACACUUUUCCUCUUCAGAAACCACCAUAAAUGUGGCUAAGGGCAUUUGUAUAGACACCUUCUUAAUAUUAAAAACGUGGGAGGAAGAGACGAGUUACGAUUAUUGCAAAGAAACCAAUCCAUCUGGAUUUAAUGUAACAGUUGUAAGCUUUCAGUCUGCACCUAUGAUUUUAAGUAGAAAAGAGAAAAUUGGAAAGCAAACUGGAAAACCACCAAAAUUUAGUAUAAAUUUAAAAUCAGAGCAGUAAAUUUUCAAAGGCUGUGUGAACAGUUCACCCUUCUGGUUGUCUUUUCUUCAUGUCUUUAAGCCAGCACAUUACUUCAGUUAGUUCUAGCAUCCGUUUAGUGCCAAGCUUGCAAAGGGAAGGAGGAAUUAAUUUUAUUCAGAAAAUGGUGCCUGUGAUUAACUGAAUGGUUUAGGAACUAACCAAUUUUACAAAUACACACUGCAGCUUUGUAUGUAUGUGUGUAUACAAAUUUAAGCUUUAAUCCAUUUUAUGUGAAAUUUUAAACAUGGCUUUGAAAUAUAAUUUUAUUCCAGUGUUUAAAUACAACAAAUUCGACAAAUGUGCAUGGAGCCUGGCCAGAAGACAGAGACGCAGCAGUGAGUCGGGCAGGUGCAGCCUGGCCAUGAUGAAUCACAUUCUAUGGGGCAGGGAGCAGAUAAUUAAACAAAUAGUUACACACCAGUUGUUCAGUUACUAUGUAACCCUUGUGAACACAUUCCAAGCCACGUGUGUUAUAUGUGUCACGUCUAGGCCUCAUGAUGCAGGAGGCUGUGCUAUCCACCACUACCCCUGCUUUACCGAUAAAGUAGGAGACACUGAAGGCACAUGCCCCGGUACUGUCAGAGGCAAGAUUGUUACUGAGCAGGGAGGGACUCCCUCCCAGCCUUUUCCAAUUUUACUGGAAAUUUGUCUUCAGAUUUUUUUUUCUAUUCCCAGACCAAUAUAUAUUUUACAAUUACAUAAAUAAUAUCAAACAUAUUUUUUCUAAGCAAUUUUUGUGGUAGUAUAGAGUAUGGAACCAAUUUUGCUAAAUGCACAAGCGUUUUGAAAACAAACUCUUGCUGAAUGGGGUCUGGUUAGAAAACAGACUUCCAAUACUUGUUUGAUUCAAGAUUCCAGCACUCUGUGUGUGUGUGUGUGUGUUUGUGUGUGUGCGCACCGCAGUACUCAACUGUCUGCAUAAAAAAAGAUCUAUGUGUUUAUCAUUGUAUUCUGCUGAACAAAAAAAAAUGGAUAAAAAUGCAUUAGUGGAAAUCAAUACCUUGUUGAGAAGCUUCAAGCACAUGUCUCUGCCUCUUGACUGCAGGGGGCUGCACCCUCUUCCUGCCAACCAUUUAUAAUCACAUACGGAUGCCAAAAUUAGCAGCAGAGAAAGCAAUUACUUUAAAGGCUUUGAGAUUGGAAGUUAAAAAAAGAUAUAUAUUGUAAAUCAUUUUAAUCCAACAGCAAGAAAAUAGCAAGUUAAAGUUCAUAAAUAGGAGGUAGGCUAAUGAGACAAUAUUUUAAACAUUAACAGUGCCUUUGAUCUAUAGUGUGUUCAGUAGGAAUUUGCUUUAGAGGACUGUAUUAGACUGUUCUCAGGCUGCUAAUAAAGACAUACCCGAGACUGGGUAAUUUAUAAAGGAAAGAGGUUUAAUGGACUCACAGUUCCACAUGGCUGGGAGGCCUCACAAUCAUGGUGAAAGGUGAAUGAACAGCAAACGCGUGGUGGCAGAGAAGAGAGCUUGUGCAGGGGAACUGCCCUUUAUAAAACCAUCGGAUCUUGUGAGACUUACUCACUACCACAAAAACAGCACAAGAAAGACUCACCCCUAUGAUUCAUUUCCUCCCACCAGGUCCCUCCCACAGCACAUGGGAAUUAUGGGAGCUAUUAUUCAAGAUGAGAUUUGGGUGGGGACACAGCUGAACCAUAUCAAGGAAACAAAUGGAAUCUUCAAUAUUGACAAACUCCAAAUGGAGUUGAGGACUUGAGUAGGAACAGGUUGGGUUAAGUGGACCAAGAAGAAAGUCAUGAUAGGUUGUUGAUACUGAUGGUGAGGGCAGGAUAUCUGCAGUCUAUGUGGACAAGUGUUUUUUGCCAGCUUAAACCCAAAGGAGGGAGGAAAUUAGCAUGGUUUGAACACCUACCUGGCCAGCGGCUCUUUUCUGUAAUCUCUGAUAACUGAUCUCCAUGUAAAUGAGGUUCAAUAUGAGAUCUUUCUACUCGGUAGGUUUCCGUGUAAUUUACAAUAUACGUGACUAUUCAUACAUGAGUCAGCCCAACACAACAGAUUCAAUAUUAAUUGCAGAAUGAAAUCUUGGAUUGUGUUAUGAAUAGACAUAAUGGAGAUCACUGGGACAUACAGUUAAUGUAAAAGGGAUGUAGAUGAUAAGGAUGAUUUUUUUUUUUUUGAAACAGAGUAUAGCUCUUGUAGCCCAGGCUGGAGUGCAGUGGCGCGAUCUCGGCAGCUCACUACAACCUGUGCCUCCCAGGUUCCAGUGAUUCUCCUGCCUCAGCCUCUUGAGUAGCUAGGAUUACAGGUGCCCGCCACCAAGCCCGGCUAAUUUUUGUACUUUUAGUAGAGACGGAGUUUCACCAUUUUGGCCAGGCUCGUCUCAAACUCCUGACCUCAGGUGAUCCGCCCGCCUUGGCCUCCCAAAGUGCUGGGAUUACAGGCGUGAGCCACUGCACCCGGCUGAUAAGGAUGAUUUUACCCCCACAGAUUAGAAAGAAAAAUCAUCAGCUGAAAGAGUGAACAGCUUCUCUGUAGGUAAAUCAAGAUGAGUGUUGAGUAUAUGCAAGUGGGUAGAUUUGUGUGUGUGUCUAUAUGUUUGUGAAUAUGUGUGUUAGUGUGUUUUUGAGGAGGGGGCAGAUAUAAGAGAGGGAAGACAAGAAAAUUAAUGAAUCAUAGCCCCUCCCGUAUAAAAGACAAUCUCAAUACUUAGUAUCUAAGCUCACAAAGGCUCUUGGUAGAAACUCGUUCCAGACUCCUGCUGAAAGCCAGCUCUAGCUAGUUGAAUACCUAAAUGUAAAUAACAAAGGCAGUAAAAAUAUCAAAGCAUGCCCAAAUGCUGGAAAUAAAAAGUAUUUAAAGAAAGGAAACGUAAGACAUUGAACGGUAAGACUUUAAAACCACCAAGGAAAGAAAUGAGAUGCAGCAGAUUUAUGGAAUAAUCUUUAUUUAAAACAUUGCAUUAUGUUGGAAAACAGGAAAAAUUGGCUGUCUUUUUUUAAAGCAAGAGGAGUUCGUGUGCAUAUCUAUUUAUCGUUUUUUUCCAACAUCCAGCAUAUUUCUUAUGCUUAUUCCAAAAAUAUAUUGUAUCUACUUAUGGUAGCUCUUAACAAACUGCUGAGUUUCAGUGAGAAGAAACCUUGUUUGCAGUGGACUGUGGCAUACAGAAUUUUUUCUCACAUUUUUUUUCUGUUUACUGUUGUUGUUUUUUAUUUUUAUUUUACUUUAUUUUAUUUUUGAGACGGAGUCUUGCUGUCACCCAGGCUGGAAUGCAGUGGCUCAAUCUCAGCUCACUGCAACCUCCGCCUCCCAGCUUCAAGUGAUUCUCCUGCCUCAGCUUCCCAGGUAGCUGGGAUUACAGGUACAUACCACCAUGGCUGGAUAAUUUUUGUAUAGUAGAGAUGGGGGUUUCACCAUAUUGUCAAGCCUGGUCUCAAAAUUCUGACCUGAGGUGAUCUGCCUGCCUAGGCCUCCCAGAGUGCUGGGAUUACAGGUGUGAGUCACCAUGCCCAGCCACUUUUCUGUUUUUUGAAUUAGAUCCCUACGGAAGAGACAAAGGGAAUAGCAUGGGCUAGGUCUGGCCAAUCAUAAUAACGUACCUCAUGGUUACAUCAUGGCUCUGACAUUGGGCACGUACUCCAGGCAGGGCCAUAUAUCUGAAAUUAAUAUAUAGACACUGGGGAAAAGAAAACUAUUUCCUCCGAGAUCCUGACCCAGGAUGACAUGGAUCUAGAUCCAUCUCUCUUUGGCUACAAGGUGAAAAUUGAUGUGAUUCCAGAGAGAGUAAGUUCAACACACACAAAUUAAGAGAAUCCAGAAAUGAAGAGAAAGAAAGAAGAGAAACACAGAGAGAGAGAGGAAGAUGGGCACUGAGAUUAUCAUGCAAUGUCCUUGACCAAACAAAGUCUGCAUCGUGAAGCCAAUAAGUUCCAUUUUUGUUUUAGCUUGUUUCAAGCAUAUUUCUGUUGUUUACUGUCCCACAAGUUACUGGGAUAUAAUUCUCCAUGGGUUUCUUGUAGUCUGCACCUGUGAGGUACGGAUAGCUCAUAAUUCUGGGUUAUCUUUUCAAUCAUGUUCGUGUCAUAAACGUGCUUAGAAGACAGAGAGAGUAUCUUCCUUCAGAUACACUUAAUGUCCAGUAUAAUAAAGAUAGUGUCUUGCUCAGGAGCAAAAGGCAGGCAUGCUCACUGCCCGUUAUAAAUGAUUCGAGUUUUCUAAGUUCAGGAUUUCUCUCCUGCAAUGCAAACUUCUGUGGGUACAGGUGUGAUCUGGUUCAUUUUCUGUCUCUCUGCAGGAAUUGGGGCUCAGGGAAACCACACUAAACCGUGGAUACUCCACUAAGUUUAAUUGCUCUGAAUAACACAGUGUUCUUGUCUCUGACCAAGAGUUUCGUGUCUCCUCCCAGCACCCAUGAAACUAUGACAAGAUAACUUGUCUUGUGAGCUUGCAGUUCUUGACACUAAUAUGUUCCUCUAGGUAGAAAGUAGAAUCUUAGAGUGGAGAGAAAAGAACCCCACACAAUUUGGAAACGUGAAAUCAAUGUGUAUAUAGCUGUAAAUUUAGGGAAAAAAUAUUUUUUUCAAUAUAAAUAAACUUUUUAUUGUCUGCUAGAUAAAGAUAAAGUAAAAAUCUUGGCACAUAGUUUCAGGGAAAAUAUAUAAUGACUCAAUAUUUAGGCCAUGGUACAUAUAAUUUAAAGAGACUGUGUCAUUAUAUAGGGUAAAACACAUUUUUUUUUAAAGUUUACCUAAAGAAGGUGAGUUUUAAAAUAUUUGAGAUAUAGACAGUUGAGUUUUCCAGAAAGGAAAUUUGGAAAUGAUAGAUCAGUUAGUAAUUAGAAUGUCAUGUUCCUUGAGCAACUUUAAUAGAUAAAUUUGGUUAAAAUGUCUUUGAUUCAUCCAACUUAUAUUACAAAUUCCAAUCAUGUAUGGAACAAACAUUAAUUACACUGAACCAGUGUAUCCAGGACUUCUUUAGACAAAAAGCAGACUGGUGAAAAGCCAGACAAUAUUCCUACCCUAUAUGUGCUGGUAAAUGUUUAACAACUGGCUCUCUCAGAGAAAAUGUAUGGCUAAAUAACAUUUCCAUUGAUUUUUUUCCAAAAUUGUGCAUCUGUAGUCAACCUGGGGUUGCAGUUGGCAAAGGCAUAUAGGAUUGUAAUUUCUAUGCAAUGCUGACUGAUACUGUCAGGUAUGUUAAAGAAUAAAAUAGAACUGUGGCUGGGCACGGUGGCUCAUGCCUAUAAUCCCAGCACUUUGGGAGGCCGAGGUGGGCAGAUGACUUGAGGUCAGGAGUUUGACACCAGCCUGGCCAACAUGGUGAAACCCCAUCACUAACUAAAAAUACAAAAAAAUUAGCAAGGUGUGGUGGCGUGUGCCUGUAGUCCCAGGUACUCAGGAGGCUGAGGUGGAAGGAUCACUUGGACCCAAGAGGCGGAGGUUGCAGUGAGCCGAGAUUGUGUGACUGCAUUCCAGCCUGGGCAACAGAGUGAGACUCCAUCGAAAGAAAGACAGACGAAAGAAAGAGAAAGAGAGAAAAAGAGAAAGAAAGAAAAAAGGAAGGAAGGAAGGAGAGGGAGAGAAAGAAAGAAAGAGAGAAAGAAAGAGGGAAAUAAAGAAACAAAGAAAGAAAAAGGAAGGAAGAAAGGAAAGAGAAAGAAAGAGAGAAAAGAAAGAAAGAGAAAGAAACAGGGAGGGAGGGAGGGAGGGAGGGAGGAAGGAAGGAAAGAAGGAGGGAAGGGAAGGGAAGGAAUGAUGACUUACAAUACAACUUUGUCAAUGACAUAACCCGUCUUCAUUCUACAGGAUGUCGUGGCUGGUUUUGAGUAGAUUAAGGGGUACUCAGAUCGUUCAUUCUGCAGGAUGUGGUGGCUGGUUUUGAUGGGAUUAAGGGGUA
rnacentral:lncRNA from 1 species